UAUGGAGCCAGUUGGCCGGUUCAGUUGAAGCCUACCAACCCUCUCUCUCCUACCUACCCCCUACUACUUAUCCUCUCUCUGUCCCCCAACCCUUUUCUUCACCUCUCACCCAACAUCACCCAUUAUUGGUCACUGACUAACUUGAGUGGCUGAGCUCUCCACAACUCUGUUUGUCCUGGACAAGCAAGCUCAGUGUAUAUCAGCGACACGAAUCCGAAAUCCACACCGGAAUGUCUAUAGUUCCGUUGGUUCUAUUUGUGAUAAAAGCCUGUAAAUCUUGUGGGGCCCAUUUAUGUGUCACAUCAGCACUUAACGAAAAUUUUAACAUAAUUGUGACGAAAUGACCAUAUUGAUUUGCGACACCUAUUUUCAGGGACUACAUUAAUUGAUUUUCAAUUUCAGAGCCAUCUUGAUGGUCAGGGUCAAUUUUAGGGACCAUUUGUGAUAAAAACCCUUCAUUUUUUCUUUUAAUUUUUAAGUAGUCCAAAUAGGUGAUAGAAAGGGCUUGCGAUGCCACGUAAGCAGAUAACAAGGAUACUAACAAAAGAUUGUAACUUUGACGGACUACAACAUUAUAAUGAAAUUGAAAUCCUAAAUUUUUUUACAUGACAUUGCAAUAAGAUAUUGUAUGAAGUUGCGAUUUGACACAAAUUUGAUACCGCAUAAACUAUAAUUUACCCUUGGAAUUUCAUUGACCCUUGAAUUGUACUAGAUUGUAGCCACGUUGCAUGUGUUCAUAAUUCGAACUUGGAAGUGUGACAAGAACAGAGUUUAAAAUUUAUUCGAUACAAUUGAUUUUCCAUGGAGAUAUCCAAAAAAAAUUAGACAAGUAUGGAAAAUGGGUGGUGAAGUUUAAACUUCACCUCAUAUCGGAAAAACUCUUUAAGUUUAGACUAAAAUUGACAGAUAUCGUCGAUAUUUCUGACACAUUGUUAAAUAUCGGAGAAACUCUUAUAUUUUUUUUUCUUCCAAACCAAUGUUUGACAAUCCUUAUAAUUUUGUUCUAAAUUUCAUCAUUUAUAUUGAAAACAACUGAUAUUGAUAUCAAUAUUUCUACAAAUUAGCAUAUUAUCGAUAUUUCCAUAAAAAUUGAUAUUUUAAAAUGAAAACUAAUGAAAAUGGCUUGAAAACUUUGAGUUUUAACGAUAAGGACAAAAUAAAGGGUAAAGUAAAUAGUAUCAAGUUUGACUUUUUAGUAUAAAAAUAUGAUUUUUCGUUAAAAUGAACAGUACCGUGGUCUUGGAAGGAAAAUGAAGAAGCCAAAUCGAAGUAGAUAACCCGUCAGACGGUUGUUAGUUGGGAACUUGGAAGGAAAAUGAAGAAGCCAAAUCGAAGCAGCAGAAAAUGAAUUGUACGGCCUUCAAAUUCAAUCCCACCACUCCGUUUGUCAUGGACAAGCAUGCUCAGUUUAUAUCAGCGACAUGAAUCCGAAACCCGCACUGGAAUGUCUAUAGUUUCGUUGGUUCCAUUUGUGAUAAAAACCUGUAAAUUUUGUAGGGCCCAUUUAUGUGCCACAUCAACACUUAACAAAAAUUUUAACAGAAUUGUGACGGAAUGACCAUAUUGAUUUGUGACACCUAUUUUAAGGGAUUACAUUAAUUGAUUUUCAAUUUCAAGACCAUCUUGAUGGUCAUGGUCAAUUUUAGGGACCAUUUGUGAUAAAAACCCUUAAUUUUUUUUAUUUUUGAGUAGUCCAUAUAGGUGAUAGAAAGGGCCUGCGAUGCCAUGUAAGCAGAUAACAAGGAUACCAACAAAAGAUUGUAACUUUGACAGACUACAACAUUAUAAUGAAAUUGAAAUCCUAAUUUUUUUUUACAUGACAUUGCAAUAAGAUAUUGUAUGAAGUUGUGAUUUGACACAAAUUUGAUACCGCAAAAACUAUAAUUUACCCUUGGAAUUUCAUUGACCCUUGAAUUGUACUAGAUUGUAGCCACGCGUGUGUUCAGAAUUCGAACUUGGAAGUGUGACAAGAACAAAGUUUAAAAUUUAUUCGAUACGAUUGAUUUUCCAUGGAAAUAUCAAAAAAAAAAAAUUAGAGAAAGUAUGGAAAAUGGGUGGUGAGGUAUAAACUUUACCUCAUAUCGGAGAAACUCUUAAGUUUAAGUUAAAAUCGACAGAUAUUAUCGAUAUUUCUGACAUAUUGUUAAAUAUCGGAGAAACUCUUAUAUUUUUUUUUCCAAACCAAUGUUUAACAAUCUCUAUAAUUUUGUUCUAAAUUCCAUCAUUUAUAUCGAAUACAACUGAUAUUGAUAUCAAUAUUUCUACAAAUUAGCAUAUCAUCGAUAUUUCCAUAAAAACCGAUAUUUUAAAUACUGAACUGGAGAUAGGCCUACCAUCGUGCGGUUAGAAUUAGUUUAAUCACAGUAGAUAACCCGUUAGACGGUUGUUAUUGGGAACUUGGAAGGAAAACAAAGAAGCCAAAUCGAAGCAGCAGAAAAUGAAUUGUACGGCCUUCAAAUUCAAUCCCACCACUCCGUUUGUCCUGGACAAGCACGCUCAGUUUAUAUCAGCGACAUGAAUCCGAAACCUGCAACGGAAUGUCUAUAGUUCCGUUGGUUCCAUUUGUGAUAAAAACCUGUAAAUCUUGUAGGGCCCAUUUAUGUGUCACAUCAACACUUAACAAAAUUUUUAACAGAAUUGUGAUGGAAGUACCAUAUUGAUUUGCGACACCUAUUUUAAGGGAUUACAUUAAUUGAUUUUCAAUUUCAAGACCAUCUUGAUGGUCAUGGUCAAUUUUAGGGACCAUUUGUGAUAAAAACCCUUAAUUUUUUUAUUUUUGAGAAGUCUAAAUGGGUGAUAGAAAGGGCCUGCGAUGCCACGUAAGCAGAUAACAAGGAUACUAAAAAGAUUGUAACUUUGACAGACUACAACAUUAUAAUGAAAUUGAAAUCCUAAAUUUUUUUUUUACAUGACAUUGCAAUAAGAUAUUGGAUGAAGUUGUGAUUUGACACAAAUUUGAUACCGCAAAAACUAUAAUUUACCCUUGGAAUUUCAUUGACCCUUGAAUUGUACUAGAUUGUAGCCACGCGUGUGUUCAGAAUUCGAACUUGGAAGUGUGACAAGAACAGAGUUUAAAAUUUAUUCGAUACGAUUGAUUUUCCAUGGAAAUAUAAAAUAAAAAAAAAUUAGAGAAAGUAUGGAAAAUGGGUGGUGAGGUUUAAACUUCAUCUCAUAUCGGAGACACUCUUAAGUUUAAGCUAAAAUCGACAGAUAUUAUCGAUAUUUCUGACACAUUGUUAAAUAUCGGAGAAACUCUUAUAUUUUUUUUUCCAAACCAAUGUUUGACAAUCUCUAUAAUUUUGUUCUAAAUUCCAUCAUUUAUAUCAAAGACAACUGAUAUUGAUAUUAAUAUUUCUACAAAUUAGCAUAUCAUCGAUAUUUCCACAAAAACCGAUAUUUUAAACACUGAACCGGAGAUAGGCCUACCAUCGUGCGGUUAGAAUAAGUUUAAUCGUAGUAGAUAACCCGUCAGACGGUUGUUAGUUGGGAACUUGGAAGGAAAACGAAGAAGCCAAAUCGAAGCAGCAGAAAAUGAAUUGUACGGCCUUCAAAUUCAAUCCCACCACUCCGUUUGUCCGGGACAAGCACGCUCAGUUUAUACCAGCGACACGAAUCCGAAACCCGCACCGGAAUGUCUAUAGUUCCGUUGGUUUCAGUUUUACCAGGAAGAAACUGAAACGAUGCCGCCACUUUGCUCCUCCAAACGCCACCCCCUUGGUGGAAUUGGAGCUCCCGCUCCUUCCCUUUCCCUUGAACGAGGUUUUCACUUCAAUUUCUCUUUCUUUAAACUCAAUCUUUUUAUUUUUCAGUCCGAACUUCGCGGCGGAAGGGAGCACUAUGCUCUAACCAACUUGGCUACGAAGAUGUCUGCUGUUGUUUUUGAGCAUCAUUAUAUUUGUGUGAUUUAAUUUAGUUAAUAUUUGGAUUGCUUGGAAUGAUUAAUUCUUUUGUUUGUGUUUAUUUCUUACAGUAAGAAGAAUUAUUUCUAAUUUUCGAAAAACUGGUUUUCGAAAUUUCAGGUUCUAGUUCCCUCUGAGAGUAAGGCAUUGCACUUAUAUGAAGCAAGGUAUCUAGCUCUACUGGAGGAGGUAAUAUAUACUUUCGUUGCUACAUUUUCUCCGAUUUGAUGACAGCAUGAGUUUUGAGUCUUGAGCAAGUAAGGUGGAAGAAAUUUUGUUUGAAUAAACGAAAGAGAAACAUACAACCGCGAAAGUAUAUUGAAACAAGAACCAACCGUGCGAUAAGUUUUUAAGAAGAUGCUUUUGUUGCUGUUGUUCUUCCAUUUUAGGUGCUUUGCGUUUACGAGCAGCUUUUAGUAAGCCACAGCAUACCGAAUCAGGCCUUCUUGGCUCUGAAUUAUAUGAGGUGGGAAAAAUUCAUGGAGAUUUAAGUCAAAUUGGUAUUGCUAGGGAAUUUUUGAAGUUACACUCGGCAAGCUACUGAAAGUCUGUUUGGUUACUUUUGCAAAGCUGCUAUUGAUAGGUAGAAGCACUUAGUGAGAUAGUCGUAAGUGUUGUGAAGGUAUGAUGUAAAAUGAAGAUGGUCUGCCGACUUUCCUUCUGACAAAUACCUGUCAAUGGCACAUUAACAUCGUAGCUAUUGUGCUUAUCUAUAAUCAAGUAGUUUUCUGUAAAGUUAUAUACCAUUGAUAGUAAUAAUGUGCAGCACCUGGAAAGAACGACAUGAUUGCUCUUCGGAUGAGAUUAUAGAACACAGAAAUAUAAGUCCAUUUGAAUUUUAUAAAUUGUUUUGUUUGAAUGCUUUUGAAAAGCAUAGACAGAGACACCCAACAACAACAACAACAACAACAACAACAAAGCCUUUUCCCACUAAGUGGGGUCGGCUAUGAAUCCUAGAACGCCAUUGCGCUCGGUUUUGUGUCAUGUCCUCCGUUAGAUCCAAGUACUCUAAGUCUUUUCUUAGAGUCUCUUCCAAAGUUUUCCUAGGUCUUCCUCUACCCCUUCGGCCCUGAACCUCUGUCCCGUAGUCACAUCUUCGAACCGGAGCGUCAUUCGGCCUUCUUUGCACAUGUCCAAAUCACCGGAGCCGAUUUUCUCUCAUCUUUCCUACAAUUUCGGCUACUCCUACUUUACCUCGGAUAUCCUCAUUCCCAAUCUUAUCCUUUCUCGUGUGCCCACACAUCCCACGAAGCAUCCUCAUCUCCGCUACACCCAUUUUGUGUACGUGUUGAUGCUUCACCGCCCAACAUUCUGUGCCAUACAACAUCGCUGGCCUUAUUGCCGUCCUAUAAAAUUUUCCCUUGAGCUUCAGUGGCCUACGACGGUCACACAACACGCCGGAUGCAUUCUUAACACUUCAUCCAUCCAGCUCGUAUUCUAUGGUUGAGAUCUCCAUCUAAUUCUCCGUUCUCUUGCAAGAUAGAUCCUAGGUAGCGAAAACGGUCGCUUUUUGUGAUCUUCGCUAGAUUGCUCCGGUCAUUAGUGUGGAUAAGUAUAUAAAUGGAUAGAGAUAGGAAAGCAAACACAAGAUGUACGUGGUUCACCCAGAUUGGCUACGUCCACGGAAUAGAAGAGUUCUCAUUAAUUGUGAAGGGUUUACACAAGUACAUAGGUUCAAGCUCUCCUUUAGUGAGUACAAGUGAAUGAUUUAGUACAAAUGACAUUAAGAAAUAUUGUGGGAGAAUGAUCUCGUAAUCACGAAACUUCUAAGUAUCGGAGUGUGGUGUCGUCUUGACUUGCCUUAUCUCUGUCUCAUAGGUAGAUGUGGCAUCUUCUCUGGAAGUACUCUUCCUCCAUCCAGGGGUGGUAUCUUUAACUGGUGGAGAUGCACAAGGUAAUGUAUCAAUUUCACUUGAAGCUUACUUGUAGUUUCAGGCUUGGUCAAGCGCGAUACAAACCAUGUAGUAGGAGUCCCCCAAGUCGCCGAGCUAGGGGGUCUGCUGAAAGAGGUGACAGACAAGGUAAGCAAUCAGAGCUCCGACUGAUUGUUCACCUUCUCCCCAUCUUGCAGCAGCAUGAAGGAUAAAGAGAAGAAAAAUGAGAAGAGAUGAUAUGAGAUACUUUUGCUUUUGAAGAAGUAACUUUCCACAGGCUUAUUCUUGAACUGAGCUGGAGGGUUUUCUGGUUUCCUCCAGAGUAUAAGGCCGACUGAAGAAUUUGAGGGUCAAAACAAGUCCAUCAAAUCUAGAGUACGUUCCACCCUGCUGAUAUGGGAUACUUUUGCUUUUGACAGAGUAAUGGAUGUAUCGGCACGUGUGCUGUUACGCUUGUCUCCACAUGCUUCCUUGUAUCCUUCGCACUUGCCCUAUCUGUUCCUCAAGCAGAUGCGGAAUCUUCCCUGGAAACAUAAGAUGUUGAAGAUGAGUACUCGAGAGCAAUGCCAGGUAAGUAAUCAGGUAAGGGGUUCCAGGCAGUCAGUUCCUGGCUGGAAGCUUGAUUCCAAGUGCUGACUGAUUGCUCUCUUUCUCCUUGUCUUGCAGGUAAAAACAAGGCCAAAGGAAAAGACAGGGAAAAAGCAUGAUAUGGGAUACUCUUGCUUUUAACCCUGAUGAUAUGAGAUAUUCUUGCUCUAGUAUAGCUUGUUUGCAGAGGUAUUAUCGGGGGGAAAGAAAGCUGAAUAUUUCGAAAGGCUUCGUUGGGAGUGCCCUCUCAGAUAUGAUGAAGGGUUGAGCAUUUUUGCAGGUCUGCCUGUCCGUUGGGGAUGGAGGUCGACAUAUAUAGGAGUCUCCCUAACAACAAGUAGUAAUGCUAUUCCUUUACCCUGCUUGGUCAUAGCACGGUAGUGGGAGCUGCCAGUUUCACAUGUUUUAACUCUGUCAGAGCACUUUGAAAAAGUGGUCUGUGGUAUCUGGCUCUCGAGAUUCGGAGAACGAUGCCUCUUCGAUUUUUGAGAAAGCAAUCAUGCUGGGGGUCUGGCUCUCGAGAUUCGGAGAGCAGUGUCUCUUCGAUUUUUGAGGAAGUAAUCAUGUUGGGAGUCUGGCUCUCGAGAUUCGGAGGGCGGUGCCUCUUCGAUUUUGGAGCAAGCAAUCUUGUUGGGAGUGUUGUCUCGAAUGUGAGUAAAGGUUGGGCAUGUUUGCUAGUCUACCUUGCCACGAAGCACAAAGGUUGACACACAGGGACUUUCCAAUUAUCCAGCAAUGGUACUGUUCCUUUACCCUCUCUUCGAUUUUGAGAAAGUAGUCAUGUUGGGAGUCUGGCUCUCGAGAUUCGGAGGACGGUGCCUCUUCGAUUUUGGAGCAAGCAAUCUUGUUGGGAGUGUUUUCUCGAAUGUGAGUAAAGGUUGGGCAUGUUUGCUAGUCUACCUUGCCACGAAGCACAGAGGUUGACACACAGGGACUUUCCAAUUAUCCAGCAGUGGUACUGUUCCUUUACCCUUGUGGGUAAUAAUAUGGUAGCUAGACCUUCAAAAUUUAUGUGUCUAAACUUUGUUAGUGCUGUUUCUUUGCUAUUCUUUUACCUUUCUUGGUCAGAGCGAUGUAGUGGGAGCUGCAAGCUUCACGUGCUCAACUUUGGCAGAGAACUUUGGCAAAGUUAUCUGUGGUACCCAUGAGCUAUUGUUGCGUGUGGGAAGUGGGUGAUUGAACAGUAAGAUUCAUGUGCUUUCUACUUCACCAGAAGUCUUCGACAGAAUGCCCAUAAUUUCUGCAAAGCUGAGUGUGCGUGUGACAGGUGCUGACAAGGCUAGAAAAGUAGGUGCCUCUUCGAUUUCUGAGAUCGGCCCUCGUGGUCUCUGAGCAGCCCAGCUUUUGAGAAAGCGAGCGCCUCUUCGAUUGAUUCGGAGAACGAUGCCUCAUCGAUUUUUGAGAAAGCAAUCAUGCUGGGGGUCUGGCUCUCGAAGAUUCGGGGAGCAGUGUCUCUUCGAUUUUUUGAGAAAGUAAUCAUGUUGGGAGUCUGGCUCUCGAGAUUCGGAGGGCGGUGCCUCUUCGAUUUUGGAGCAAGCAAUCUUGUUGGGAGUGUUUUUCUCGAAUGUGAGUAAAGGUUGGGCAUGUUUGCUAGUCUACCUUGCCACGAAGCACAGAGGUUGACACACAGGGACUUUCCAAUUAUCCAGCAAUGGUACUGUUCCUUUACCCUCUCUUCGAUUUUUAAGAAAGUAGUCAUGUUGGGAGUCUGGCUCUCGAGAUUCGGAGGACGGUGCCUCUUCGAUUUUGGAGCAAGCAAUCUUAUUGGGAGUGUUUUUCUCGAAUGUGAGUAAAGGUUGGGCAUGUUUGCUAGUCUACCUUGCCACGAAGCACAGAGGUUGACACACAGGGACUUUCCAAUUAUCCAGCAGUGGUACUGUUCCUUUACCCUUGUGGGUAAUAAUAUGGUAGCUAGACCUUCAAAAUUUAUGGGUCUAAACUUUGUUAGUGCUGUUUCUUUGCUAUUCUUUUACCCUUCUUGGUCAGAGCGAUGUAGUGGGAGCUGCAAGCUUCACGUGCUCAACUUUGGCAGAGAACUUUGGCAAAGUUAUCUGUGGUACCCAUGAGCUAUUGUUGCGUGUGGGAAGUGGGUGAUUGAACAGUAAGAUUCAUGUGUUUUCUACUUCCCCAGAAGUCUUCGACAGAAUGCCCAUAAUUUCCGCAAAGCUGAGUGUGCGUGUGACAGGUGCUGACAAGGCUGGAAAAGUAGGUGCCUCUUCGAUUUCUGAGAUCGGCCCUCGUGGUCUCUGGGGAGCCCAGCUUUUGAGAAAGCGAGCGCCUCUUCGAUUUCUGAGAUCGGCCUUCGUGGUCUUUGAGCAGCCCAACUUUUGAGAAAGCAAACGCCUCUUCGAUUUCUGAGAUCAACCCUCGUGAUCUCUAAGCAGCCCAGCUUUUGAGAAAGCAAACGCCUCUUCGAUUUCUGAGCAGGCGCCUCUUCGAUUUCUGAAGCUCCGUCGAGUGCAGAUUUUUUAUAGGGGCUGGCAUUAAGUUCCAAAGCACACUUGAAUCUCCACCAGUAGAAGCUUCAUUCUUGCACUUCUAAGAUCUUGAUUUGUCCGACCUCUUCUCUCUUCAACACCUUUGAAAAUGUCUGGCCCCUCCGACCGUCGUUUUGACUUGAACCUUGUUGAAGAGGCAGCCCCGCCUUCUCCAGACAACAUAUGGCGCCCAUCCUUCGUCUCCCCUACUGGUCCUCUUACCGUUGGGGAUUCCGUGAUGAAGAAUGAUAUGACCGCUGCGGUGGUGGCCAGGAACCUUCUCACUCCCAAAGAUAACAGACUACUUUCCAAACGGUCUGAUGAGUUAGCUGUUAAGGAUUCGCUGGCUCUCAGUGUUCAGUGUGCAGGUUCUGUGUCUAAUAUGGCCCAACGCCUAUUUGCUCGAACCCGCCAAGUUGAAUCAUUGGCGGCUGAAGUGAUGAGUCUCAAACAGGAGAUUAGAGGGCUCAAGCAUGAGAAUAAACAGUUGCACCGGCUCGCACAUGACUAUGCUACAAACAUGAAGAGGAAGCUUGACCAGAUGAAGGAAACUGAUGGUCAGGUUUUUACUUGAUCAUCAGAGAUUUGUGGGUUUGUUCCAAAGGCAUUUAUUGCCUUCGUCUUCUGGGGCUGUACCGCGUAAUGAAGCUCCAAAUGAUCAACCUCUGAUGCCUCCUCCUUCUAGGGUUCUGUCCAGUACUGAGGCUCCAAAUGAUCCCCCUCCGGUGCCUUUCUCUUUCUGGGGCUCUACCGACUGCUGAGACUUCUCCUAAGCAACCUUUGUGAAGGCUCCCUCUUGUGUGUUUAUUUUGACUCAUGUAUAUGUACAUAUUUGUAGCUUAUCGGGGAUAUCAAUAAAUAAGCUUUCCUUCAUUUCAACGUAUUGUGUUAAAUACACCAAAGCCUUCUUCGCUAAGUUCUUUGAAUUUUCUUUUGUUGAAGCUUGUAUGUUGAAGCUUUCUGAGUGGAGCAUGUAGGUUGGGGUAGUGUUCCCUUAAUUUUCCGAGUGAGGAAAACUUCUCGGUUGGAGACUUGGAAAAUCCAAGUCACUGAGUGGGAUCGGCUAUAUGAAUCUUAGAACGCCAUUGUGCUCGAUCCUGUGUCAUGUCCUUCGUUAGAUCCAAGUACUCUAAGUCUUUUCUUAGAGUCUCUUCCAAAGUUUUCCUAGGUCUUCCUCUACCCCUUCGGCCCUGAACCUCUGUCCCAUAGUCGCAUCUUCUAAUCGGAGCGUCAGUAGGCCUUCUUUGCACAUGUCCAAACCACCGUAACCGAUUUUCUCUCAUCUUUCCUUCAAUUUCGGCUACUCCUACUUUACCCCGGAUAUCCUCAUUCCUAAUCUUAUCCUUUCUCGUGUGCCCACACAUCCAACGAAGCAUCCUCAUCUCCGCUACACCCAUUUUGUGUACGUGUUGAUGUUUCACCGCCCAACAUUCUGUGCCAUACAGCAUCGCCGGCCUUAUUGCCGUCCUAUAAAAUUUUCCCUUGAGCUUCAGUGGCAUACGGCGGUCACACAACACGCCGGAUGCACUCUUCCACUUCAUCCAUCCAGCUUGUAUUCUAUGGUUGAGAUCUCCAUCUAAUUCUCCGUUCUUUUGCAAGAUAGAUCCUAGGUAACGAAAACGGUCGCUCUUUGGUAUUUCUUGAUCUCCGAUCCUCACCCCUAACUCGUUUUGGCCUCCAUUUGCACUGAACUUGCACUCCAUAUAUUCUGUCUUUGAUCGGCUUAGGCGAAGACCUUUAGAUUCCAACACUUCUCUCCAAAGGUUAAGCUUUGCAUUUACCCCUUCCUGAGUUUCAUCUAUCAACACUAUAUCGUCUGCGAAAAGCAUACACCAAGGAAUAUCAUCUUGAAUAUGUCCUGUUAACUCAUCCAUUACCAACGCAAAAAGGUAAGGACUUAAGGAUGAGCCUUGAUGUAAUCCUACAGUUAUGGGAAAGCUUUCGGUUUGUCCUUCAUGAGUUCUUACGGCAGUCUUUGCUCCUUCAUACAUAUCCUUUAUAGCUUGGAUAUAUGCUACUCGUACUCCUUUCUUCUCUAAAAUCCUCCAAAGAAUGUCUCUUGGGACCCUAUCAUACGCUUUUUCCAAAUCUAUAAAGACCAUGUGUAAAUCCUUUUUCCCAUCUCUAUAUCUUUCCAUCAAUCUUCGUAAGAGAUAGAUUGCCUCCAUGGUUGAGCGCCCUGGCAUGAACCCGAAUUGGUUGUCCGAAACCCGUGUCUCUUGCCUCAAUCUAUGCUCAAUGACUCUCUCCCAGAGCUUCAUUGUAUGACUCAUUAGCUUAAUACCCCUAUAGUUCAUGCAAUUUUGUACGUCGCCCUUAUUCUUGUAGAUAGGCACCAAAGUGCUCGUUCGCCACUCAUUUGGCAUCUUCUUCGUUUUCAAAAAUCCUAUUGAAAAGGUCAGUGAGCCAUGUUAUACCUGUCUCUCCCAAAAGUUUCCACACUUCGAUUGGUAUAUCGUCUGGGCCUAUUGCUUUUUUUAUGCUUCAUCUUCUUCAAAGCUACAACCACUUCUUCCUUCCGGAUUCGACGAUAAAAAAGAGUAGUUUCUACACUCUUCUGAGUUACUCAACUCCCCUAAAGAAGCACUCAUUUCAUGUCCUUCAUUGAAAAGAUUAUGAAAAUAACCUCUCCAUCUGUCUUUAACCGCGUUCUCUGUAGCAAGAACCUUUCCAUCCUCAUCCUUGAUGCACCUCACUUGGUUUAGGUCCCUUGUCUUCUUUUCCCUUGCUCUAGAUAGUUUAUAGAUAUCCAACUCUCCUUCUUUGGUAUCUAGUCGUUUAUACAUAUCGUCGUAAGCCGCUAACUUAGCUUCUCUGACAGCUUUCUUCGCCUCUUGCUUCGCUUUUCUAUACCUUUCACCAUUUUCAUCGGUCCUCUCCUUGUAUAAGGCUUUACAACAUUCCUUCUUAGCCUUCACCUUUGUUUGUACCUCCUCAUUCCACCACCAAGAUUCCUUUUGGUGUGGGGCAAAGCCCUUGGACUCUCCUAAUACCUCUUUUGCUACUUUUCGGAUACAACUAGCCAUGGAAUCCCACAUUUGGCUAGCUUCCCCCUCUCUAUCCCACACACAUUGGGUGAUUACCUUCUCUUUGAAAAUGGACUUGUUUUUCUUCUUUUAGAUUCCACCAUCUAGUCCUUGGGCACUUCCAAGUCUUGUUCUUUUUGUCUUACUCUUUUGAUAUGUACAUCCAUCACCAACAAGCGAUGUUGAUUAGCCACGCUCUCUCCUGGUAUAACUUUGCAAUCCUUACAAGUUAUACGAUCCCCUUUCCUCAUUAGAAGAAAAAUCUAUUUUUGUGUUUUUGACGACCCACUCUUGUAGGUGAUCACAUGUUCUUCUCUCUUCUUAAAGAAGGUGUUGGCUAAGAAGAGAUCAUAUGCCAUUGCAAAAUCCAAGAUAGCUUCCCCAUCCUCGUUUCUCUCCCCAAAACCAUGGCCACCAUGAAAACCUCCAUAGUUGCCUGUCUCCCUGCCCACGUGUCCAUUUAAAUCUCCUCCUAUAAAUAACUUCUCCGUCUGAGCAAUUCCUUGCACCAAGUCUCCAAGAUCUUCCCAAAAUUUCUCCUUCGAACUCGUAUCCAACCCUACUUGAGGUGCGUACGCACUAAUCACAUUGAUAAGUUCUUGUCCUAUUACAAUCUUGAUUGCCAUGAUUCUAUCUCCUACCCUCUUGACAUCUACAACAUCUUGUACCAAGGUCUUGUCCACGAUGAUGCCAACACCGUUUCUCGUUCUAUUUGUGCCCGAAUACCAAAGUUUAAACCCUGAGUUUUCUAGAUCCUUUGCCUUACUACCAACCCACUUAGUUUCUUGUAGGCACAUAAUAUUUAUCCUUCUCCUCACCAUAACUUCCACUACUUCCAUAGAUUUUCCCGUUAAGGUUCCUAUAUUCCACGUUCCUAAACGCAUUUUGCUCUCUUGAACUCUACCAUUCUGUCCUAGCUUCUUCACCCUCCCCCGUCUAAUAGGAUCAAAGUACUUCUUUUGUGUGUCCCGGGUAAAGUUGAUAGGAGCAUAUGCUCCCAAACAACUUUGAGUGGAGUCGUUCGAAAAGAAGUUUCUAUGGCCCCCUUGCUCAUUUAACACUGCAUCCGGGUGCCGAUGGAGAUACAGCGACCCUUGCUCACUUAUCACUGUGCUCGGGCCACACAGCGCGCCACUUACGGGUGACGCCCUAGCUUUAGCGUGAUUUUGUUCUGGAUUCAUUUUCAUAAGGAUUCGACGUGAUCAUGGAGUGCCGGCUGUCGACUACCUGACGCCCUCCCCCUCCUCCUUUAUCCGGGCUUGGGACCGGCCAUGUAAGACAUAGGCGGAGUUGACAGAGACACCCAAAUUCAAAAAAAAAAAAAAAAACCGGGGGAUUUCUUAUAUGCAUUAAGAAAUGUCCGAGUCCUUUGGUGCUAAUGAUGAAAUUCGAUGGUUCAGUUAGUGUAGGUUUUUCAUGGCAGCUGCAGGUGCUCAUCACAUGUCAUAUAUGGAAGCCCUUUGGUUCACCUUGAAUGCUUUUCAAUGUUUAAAUCAAGCAAUGUGGUUGAAACCCAAAUCUCUUUAUGCCAAAGGAUGGUGCCUUGGUUUAACAACUGACACCUCUUCAAGCCAAACAGAAGGGACUUCGGUCUUGUCCACCAUUAUUUGGCGUCUGCUUUAGAAUUAUUAACAUAUAUAAAUUCUGUUAUUUUGUGUAGUUGUAAUUCCCAUAUGUUUGUCAGUAUAUGUAGCCAUGCGUUUGCACAACUGCGGGUCAUUUUAUGGUGAGAAUCACAAAUUGUUGUACACCCAAUCACUCAUUCAUGCUACUUUUGUAUUUAGUAUAACAUGAAUCCGAAAGGUGAGCCGAGAUAAAACAGUCCCUCCUCGUACGUGUAGGUUAGGGAGAUCCUAUGGUGUGGUUUGGGAUGUCAGAAAAACUAUCUGUAUUCAUCCUACUUACAGUUUAUUCUAUUUGUUGCAGUCAUUGACAAGGAAGAAGCUUUUUGUGCAUUUUGUGUUGGAUCCUAUAGUCAUUGACAAUUCAUCAGGAGAAGCAUCCUUUGCAGCCAGAAAUGGCUGCUUGGUUUUCAUAGAAAAUGUAAGCUUCUGAACUUCAAUGCAAUUUCCAAAUAUUUGAAGGACCUUAUGAACUAAAAUCAUUCCAGUACUCUGCAGGUUGAGCGUUUAGAAGUUGGAGCACUAGUCUCUAUUAGAGGAAUUGGUCGUGUAAAAAUUGUGAAAUUUGUGCAGGUGAGUCACAAGAGAUUUGGUGAAUAUUAGGAGAUUUUGAUGCGACCUUGAAACUUUAUAAAACUCUGCGCACAUGAAGUUAGUCAAUCUUGGCAUUGAUAAUUGAGUUUAACUGUACUCUGUGUACAUGAAGUUAGUCAAAAACUUAUUGAGACGAAAAACUUUUAAUUGCAAGUGCAACCAAGUAUAAUUUUUACAGAAAGUGUUACUAUGCAUGGUGAUCAGAAUUGACUGUGUAGUGAGUUCAGGAAGGAAGAGGAAAUAUAACCCUCAAGGUCUUUUAUUUUUUCUUUAAUUCUUCUUAUUCUUCUGCUCUUUCUGUUGUACUUGUACCAUCAUUUGUAUCUCCUACGAAAUAGCUUGACUCUUAUGCUUUCUAGAUGUUGGUUUGCACUUUUGUACACGCAGGCAGAACCUUACUUGAAAGGUGUUGUCAUACCUGUGCACGACAGGGUUCCUGAAAGCGAGAGUGGAUUAGACCCAAAAGUUAUGCAAGUAAAGGAAGCUCUAUAUAGUUUAAAUAGCUUGGAAAUCAAGCUAAAGGUGUGCUUCUCUCUCUCUCUCUCUCUCUCUCUCUCUCUCUCUCUCUCACAGACUAUUCCCACUUCCUACACUCUCCCCACUUAUUCUCUCCUUCUCCUCAAAUUUACAAAACUAUCAAAAAAUGGAGUGAAUCGAAGGUUUGGAAGAAAAGCUGAAAUAUCUUAAUGAAGACAAUGAAAACUCCGUCCGUCUUCCACUCUUCUGAAGGCUGAUAAGUUGAGAGUGAAUAACUUUGUGGGAAGCUUAAGGUUGUAGAUGUGAAAGAGACUCUUACUUGAACUCAUCGGAGAACACUAGAACCAAAUUAUAGUGGCCAUAAUAACACCAGAACAGGUGUCGUUUGUCUCCCUACAGUGUAGAUAGAAGGGCAUUGUUCUUGCUGUCAGUAGAUCCAACCAGAAUAGAACUGGAAUACUGGUGGCAGUGGAGUGUUGUAUGAUCACGAAGAGGGUGGAGAUCCAGACAGUGACUCGUGCGGAGUCUGAUCAAAUGAAGAAGGUCGAGAGUCAGGUGGAGUGUGAGGUGCGGGAGCUUACAAAACAUAAUGGAGAGACAACCCUGUAACCAUAACUCACUCUCAAAUCUGAUAUGGUGCUUCGAGAAGCAAAAGUCUGGUGGAAAAGAAAAUUUCAGGGACAGGAUAGUCGGACAGAGAGGGAGAGAAGAGUUUAAUAAGGAAAUGAGAGAGACAAAUUAGAAGAGAGAGAGAGAGAGAGAGAUUCGACACAACUAAUGUGUAUGGUUUUUUAUGUGGUCCUUAACACGACUCUUUAUUAGAUGAGGACUGUAUGUACAUUAUACCCUCAUAUGCAUUCGUUGACUCCUGUCUGCUCUGUUCUACUAGGCCCCCAAGGAGGCACCGUUGCAGACUCGAAUUGCCAAUUCUCUAAUGUGGAGUGAAAAGGAACUAGUCUUAGAUUGUGAUGAAGCUUUCAUUCCUUCCUUGCCUGAGCGUGUUUCCUUUGCAGCACUUCAACCGGUAUCAGGUAACAAAUUUUCUAAUGGAAUCAGUAAGUUGUGUUGGCAUCCUAUUCUAGUGAAGCAAACUUAAUUUGGCCGAAGCCGACAAUCGAACAACAUAGUGGACAUUGGUCUUAGGAGACAUAGGACAGUGUCAAGUGGCUUUCCUUGUAAACUGGAAAUUGGUGACAAUGCCUGAGAUCUCCCCCUCAUGCAUCUUGUUGUUUAUAUGUAAUGUGUAUCAGGAUCAGGUGAAUCGGAACUUGCGAAGCUACAGCUAGAGAAGUUAAGGGCAAUGGAGCUCAAAGACACCGUCCAGAGGCUAGAUAAUUCCCUGGAAUUUGUUAAGGAUAAUAUCUCCAUGGUUGCAGCCAAGCUCGCUAUACAAUCAGUGGAGAUGCAGUAAGUUGUGGGAAGAAUCCAUUCGACGAUCACCCUUUCAUUGCAAAAUAUUAUUCUCACACCUGUUUACUCAUCAUCCUCUGAAUUCUGGCAGUUUUGCGUGUAUAAUGUAUAUUGAAACACUAUAUCUUGGUUUUUUUUGUUUGAUCACGAUUCACAGUUACAUUUCUCGUUCUCAAUGUUUUCCAAUUCGACUAAUGUUUCAUCGCGAAUUCGGGAUGAUUUUUGGAUAAAAAUCCAAAAUUAUUGAACUGCAAUGUCAGCGUGAAGAAUAUGGGAGCUCGGUAACAAACCAUAAAAAUGAUAGAAGUGAACAGUACCGAGAGUUUUUCGUUAAAGUUUGUUGAUGCACAAAACCGGAGGGGUCUUGGAACAAUGUAAAUCCGACCGUAAAUCUACAAGAAAUGUAAAAAACACAAGAUGCAUCGUGGUUCAUCUCAAUGUUUGGGCUACGUCCACACUGAUAUUGUAUUUCUCCGUUUGUGAGAGGAUGAUGAGGGUGAGAACUAUGUAAUGUGAGAGUGAGCUUGAGAGAGCCUCUGUUUAGGGGAUGUGAGCUCCUUCAUUUGUGAGGGUGAGGAUGCCCUUUUAUAGAAUAAAGGCUCCUGGAUUAUUACAUAUUUACCCCUUCAUUUAUUACAUAAUUACAUUUGAGUCCUCCGAUAAUUUAUACGAGAUCUAAAUACAGAGAUCCUAAAUAUGUUACAAACAAAGUUCUCAAAAAUUAUUGAACUACAGUACCAAGUAACAAGACGUCGGCUGCAAUUGCAAUUAUUUUUUCCUUCCACAAACUAAGUUUGACAGAGUGACAACAUUACAAAACAAGAGGUAACAAAUUUGUAUGAAGUCUGAGUAAGAUCAGGUGAUAUCCUUAUCAAUCAAAAACAGUAAUUGUACCACAUACUCAAAUCCCUUGCAGGCAUAAACACGACCGACAGUAAAAAAACCUCCAAUUUGAAUCCAAAACUCAUGGAAAGAAUCCCUCAAUUAAAGCAUGUGAUAGUUUAGUUGGGAUAGUUUAGUUGCGAUCAUUGGUCCUUAAUUGUUAUAGACUCAAAUAUUAGAGCAUUUCCAAAGAAGAUAUCAAAUAUAAUAUGUCAAAAUUUUAUUUGAUGGCUAAUGUGUCAAAUUGAAUACAAGUGCUAAAUUCUCUUCUUUUCCAAUGAAUGUGUCAAAUAUUUAUUUUAUUAUUUUGUUGGGCCUAAAGUUACAUUAACUAAUAAAAAAUAAUCAGAAUUAGUUUAAUUUUUAUUCUAUUGGUUGUUAAUGGGACUCAUGCAUUAAAAAUUAAAUUAAAUAUAUUUGACUUCUUUUUGUUUGCCAUAAAAAAAAGGCACCUAGAAAGCAAGAAGUCAAAUGACUCAUAUGUCACAUUAUAUAUGGCAUAUCCAUUGGAGAACACUUAAAUGUCUUUUAAUCCUAUUCAACAUAUUUGACAUCUCCUUUGGAGAUGGUCUUAUACAUUUUAAGUUUUUUUUUUUUUUUGAAAACUUUAACAUGCCAAAACGAAUUAUUCGUAGCAAUAAAACCAUCUCUUAAAAGUCGUAUCGAAAUGCCCGAAGGCAAAUCUAAAGAAUCUCAAAAAUCAACUUUGUGAUAUACUCAACUAGGGGUAUCAUAGUAGCCCUAAGGCAUAACCAUCAUCCGGAGGUGAAGCUGUACGACACUGGGUUACGCCAGUGAAGAAACAUGGUAGGCCCCAUCAUCCGAAGGUGAAGUUGUACGACUCUAGGUUAAGCCAGAGAAGAAAAUAUAACUAUAAACAUAACACACCGACACUAGCCGUGGCUAGUGAAGCUGUUUGACACGGGUUUCGCCAGUGAAGCUGGAAGUAUGUCAUAAAUAUCCUCAACUGUGUCCUAUGGCCAUAGACGUAUACAUAUUUAGGUUGUGUGUAUGAGAUGUAUGAUAACCCACUAGAUAAGGAUAGAAAACAUAUCUCAAAAUCUCAUAUCAAACUUAGGAUCCAAAUCUCAUAAAUCCAAAAUAAAUCAUUUUGGUAAAUCCGUAGUAUUUCAUAAACGAAAAUCCAAUAAUUCAUGACAUAAAACAUAAAAUCAUGGAAUCAUGCUUUUCGUGAAUGCAAGCCUAGCAUUUAGUAAAAACCAUGCAAUUUAAGAAGGGGUUUACUCACUGAUACUUGCGAGGCUGCAGCCGUCCGAACUAGGAAAAUUGGAGUCUCCGAUAGUAAUCGUACCUUAAGCAUAAUAGAAGCCCAUUAGUAAAAACUCAAUUAAAACGUUUAAAUUUGGAGAAACGAACGACGGACCCAAAAAGUCAAUGGUUGACCUUUUGGGUCAACCGAGACACCGAGCCGGUUAACUACGCUAAAACUUCAGAAUCUCACUCAACGGAUGUCAAAAAUGAACUCGGGGAGUCGAAAUUAGUCUAGGAACGUUUCCGGGAAAAUUUCAUAAAAUUCAACACAAGGAAUAUUCCAAAGAAUAUCUCAGGGAAUAUACCAAGAAUAUUCCAGAUCUAUUUGGGAAUUGAGCCAGGCUGGAUCCCAGGUUGGAUCUAGCCUAUGAAUCUGGGCUUGGGCCAGUUUCACUAGUUGGGCUGGAACAAUGGCCUAAAGGUUUGGGCCAAAAUGGAUUUGGUUUUGGGUGCGGGUCGGGUCGACCCGGUUGAGCUUGUCGGUUGCCAGACCCAACGAAUGAGAAGGCUGGAUUUUGGCUGGAGAAUUCCUGAGCUCCGAUUAGCUUCAAAACUUAACCAUUUUAUACGAUUCAAAAGGCAAAAAUGAAAUUAAGAACGCCAGGAACAAGAAUAUACCAUUAUGGUCAUUCGCCGUGGCUAGAGUAGGUCGAAAAUGGCCUGCAAACAUCUCGGCUUCGCCGGAAUAUGGGAAAUAACUUCCACGAGUUAUCUCUAUACCUUUUCAUCAUUAAAACACAUAGGGAACUCAGAACUCACACCAAAAAGUUAAUAAAAGGGGUUUUGAGCGUUAUUGAUCCUUACCCAAAUCGGAAUAAAGUCAUGAAUUCGUCGAGCAUCCCAUUCAAUGUCGGAGCUAAUCAAUCCGAGGAUUUUCCACAGUUUAGUCCUUAGUUAUAGAUUCAAGGAUAGAGAUAUGACGAGGUGGAGGGUUGGGUUGUGGUGGCAGUGUUCGCCAAAAUGGCGAGGCACGGUCUCUGGGUCUCAGCAUCGGUGUUACAGAGAAGGGAGCUGAGAGAUAAGGAAGAAGAGUCACGAGAGAGGGAGAGAGAAGGCCCACAAUGGUGGUGGUGUGUGGUGCUUGCCAGAGAGAAUGGUGAGCAGGUGUCUAGUGUGUGUGCAUGUGUGCUCGGGGAUGAGAGUGACAGAGAGAUGAGGGAGAAAGUUCGAGAAAGUCCGAGAGUAUUGGGGAAGAGAUACGGGAAAAAUGGGAGGUGGGGAGUGGGUCCCACAGGGAACAAAACAAAUUAAUAAUAUAAUAAUAUCAAAUAAUACAAAACAAUAAUUUCAAAAAUUAAACAAAUCUUUCGGAUUUGUAAACCCAUAAUAUUCGGGGACGGGUCGUUACACCAAUUCACCAAUAUCAUCACGCACUCAGGUUCUUUCAAAACAACAGUUUUUAUCUUGAUAUUUUUAUAGCCCUGAUAGCAUGAACAUUCACCAUAAUACAUGACCCAACUUUACGUUUUUCAAAUUUUAGAUUAUACAUAAAUUGUGUAUGCAUUAUAUCCAUAAUUGUUUAAUUAUGUGAAUUUGAUAUUGCCAUGAAUUGGACUUGCAGCUAGAUUUAAGUCACAAACUGAUUUGGAUAAAAUAAGAUAGGAUAAAGCUAGGUUAGGCAAGGAUAAGAUAAGAUAAAGUUAGUUUGGAUAAGAUAAGGUUAGAUAAGGUUUUGGAUAAUGUUUCCUCUUUUGAGCUGAUUCCUUAUCUUCUUUGUCUUGGAUUUAUUUUCUUCAUCUUUUUAGCACAUUCCUAGCCUCCUGAACUUCAAAUUCGUCCAUCCAUCUUGCUCAAUUCAUAAGCUAUCCAUUUGGUGCCCAAAACUGCUUCAAAAUGCUUCAAAAUGCACUUUCUUGCCAACUUUGCUAAUUAGACCUACAAACACAUGAAAAUAGCUUAAAACACUAUAAUAAGUAAGAACUAACAACAUAAAUGCAAGAAAACAAGCUAACUAAGUCGGAUAAAUAUGCUCCUAUCAAAUUCCCCCACACUUAGCUUUUGCUAGUCCUCGAACAAAACAAGACAAACAAAACAAACAAAAUAUAACCUAAACCUUUCAACAUUUGCCUUAAGGAUUUUCAAUGAAACAUGACAUAUUAAAAAUUAAUACUCAUAUAGAUUUUAGUUAUCCUUACCCUCAAGCGCAUACUUAAUCACAGUCACAACUCACUAGCUUGCAUUUAAUCAAUUAAAACAACAUUUUAAAGGUAGUAACAUGCCUUAGAGAAUUUCCUCAAUUCAUCACCGGAUAUACACUCUAUUUUCACACAGACUUUUUAACUACACUCCCUAUACUAGGUAUAUGUGAAAAGAUUGAUGUAAACAUGUAGACUAGCCACUCACAUAUGUUUUAAGCAAAGAAAGCACUUUUUGGAAUUAUUAAUGCAUUAAACUUAGUGCACAUAUCCCGACUAAGGAUCCCAACUAAACUAUCACAUAUGCUUUAAUUGAGGGAUUCUUUCCAUGAGUUUUGGAUUCAAAUCGGAGGUUUUUUUACUGUUGAUCGUGUUUAUGCCUGUAGGGGAUUUGAGUAUGUGGUACAAAUACUGUUUUUGAUUGAUAAGGAUAUCACAUUGUUGAUGAGCACGAUGCAUGCCAAGGACUAAAGGCAUUAUUACAUAAAAUUACUGGUAGUUGGAAUUAAGUUUUAUAAUAUAAUACAUGCAUUUUUAGAGUGAUAAUGCAUGUAUCUAGCUUUAAAUUUAGGCAUAUGGAAUUCCUAGGUUAAUGACAUUUUAUGAAAUCAUUUAGUUUUUUAGGAGUUAUAUUGUAACCCUUUAUUUUUUUAUGUCUUUUCAUAUUUUUCACUUUAAGUUGUAAGCCUAUAAAUGCUUGUAUUUGUAAAGAAGAAGGAGAGAAGUUGUUUGAAUUAUCAUAUUGAUAUUUGAGUUGUAAACUCAUUUUUAUGUGCCUUUCUCUUUGUAAGAUUGUUUUGCUUUGUUCUUUCUAGUGUCUACAUUUUAGGCUGGUACCAGAACCAAAGUUUAUAGGGUUUUUAGGCCUCUCCUCGCACUAGGAGAUAGUGGACCAUACCUAUCCAUUCUAUCUAUCAUUUUAAUUCGUUUCUGUCCGCUGCACCCUGUAUCAGUUGGUAUCAUAUUUUGUGUUCUCUUGAUAACAAAUAUAUAUGCCAUAGCAAGACUUGCUCAAAGAACAAGUAUGGCCAGCCUCUCCAUAUACGUGGAAUUCGACUUCCUCACCCUUAAUCAAAUCUCAUCCGGGUCCCAUUAUUAACAUAACUAAUAAAUAAAAUUUAAAUGUAAAAUAACAUAUUCUCUCUUCCUCACCUCUCUCCUCUGCAGUCUUUUUCUUCCUGAUGUACGGAGAGCCAAAAAAAUCGAGAAUUCUUACAGUUUUGUUGGUUUAUGGACUCUUAUUCAAAUAAAUUUCGACUCCAUAAUUUUUUCAAGAACUAAUCCAGUUGAUAAAGCCCUGUAAUUUGAUAGCAAAAAGUAUCGAAUAAGAAAAUAAAUUUAGAAAACAUCUGUUUGAUCCAAAUAGUGGAUCUGCCAGGUGAUGGUGAUGAAACGUGUAUGUGUGGAGCACCUUGAUCAAUAAAAACUAAUACUAAAAUAUGAUUUGUGUCCAAACUAGUGAAGGAAGACAUGAACAUUGUGUCUAUAAAAAUCAAAUGAUUUAAAUAUAUUAAAAUAGAGGGCACGCAAAUAUUUUUUGUGUUUUUGUAAAUUAAUAAAAAAAAUUAGAAUUACGGAUAUCCAUAAAUAGUGACACAAACUUUUGUGUUCAAAUUUUAAUAGGCACAAAUACACUUUUGUUUAGACACAAACUAAUGUGCCUUUUUGUUCAAAAAGCACUUUGUGAUAGUUUUGUGUUCAUUGACAUAUAAGAGCACCAAUAUAUAUUUGUGCUCAAUGAAAUUGAAAAGGGCACAAAUCAAUUGUGUUCUUAGACCAUAUUUUUUGUAGUGGAAAGUGUAAACAUCAAUCUUACGAGCACUCCAAUGCCACUGGCCACUUCGAAGAGAGUUCUUGGCCCCCAAAAUUCUAAACCAGAAACGCACCCAAACAAGUUGUGAAAGUCCCCCCCUCCCCCAACCCAAAUUAAAAAAAAAAAAAAACACUUGUGGGUUACAAGUUGAAUGCAAAUUCAAUCAUUAUUCAUGACUGAAAAAAAAAGAGUUUAAACUCAAAUUUUCCAGACUAUACAAAGAAAGGGAUAUUGAUUCAUUUAAUUAGUCAUUGCCCUUGUGAUUCCUGAGACAUGAGUAAUUAAUUAUAAACUAGUUAUUUGUAUAUUAGUAUAGGAAGACGACGAUGUUAAUUAAUUGGAAGCAUAUAUAUAGAUUUGGUUGAUCGAUUAUUAUUAGGCAUAUUGGUCUUCCGUUAAUUAUUUUUUUUUUAAAAGAAGAAUGGAGGGUUAGGGGUUCAAGAUAUCCAAUGCUUUAAUCUCGCCCUAUUCGCGAAGAUGGGAUGGAGACUUAUACAUGAACCGGGAUCUUUGCUUGCCAAGGUGUUGAGUAGACCUGUAAACGGGUCAGGUUUACUGGGUUUGAGUCAGGUUCAACCCGAUCCAUUAUUUUAGCGGGUCAUCUGAACCGAACCCAUCAAGCUAACGGGUCAUCCAAACCCAACCCGUUUCAUCGAUUAGCCUUUUUUAAUUUAUUUUAUUUUUUAACAUUUCAUCCAAAUCAAUACAACCCUGUUCGUGAGCAUCCUCGAAGAUUUCCUUGAGCUUGAGGGGCUCUUUAGUCUGUGCAUUUGAGAUGACUGUGGCGGAGAAGAUGGGGAGCAAACUCGGCAUUUUGUUUUGCUUCGGCAAGAUUGAGGGCUUUGAGAGCCUCGAGGUGGAGAACGGUAAGCAUCUUAAGCCUGUGAAUUGCUGAGCCAGAGACGCCAUAGAUGUCUCUCUCUCUGUUCUUUUGUGUUGUUUUGCUCGCAAUGUGGCUUUUGAGGAAGUUGAAAGCUUUUUGGUUUUGUUUAGAUAAGGCACUGAUUGGAGAGAGAAAGUGGAGAGGGACUGAGGAUUUUCUAUUAGGACUAUUGAAAUUACACAAAAGUCCUUAAUAACGGGUGAAACGGGUGGUUAAUGGGUUUCGUGGGUUCACCCAAAAUGAUCCGUUAUUUAACGGGUUGACCCGUUAACCAUCUAACCCGUUUAUCACUCACCCGAAUACUAAUUUUAACGGGUCAGAUCGGGUCGGGUUGAAAAUGCCAGGUCUAGUGUUGAGGGACAAAUAUUACCCCAAGGAAAUCCUUUAAGGAGGCUAGUCUUAGGAAGAAAAACUCAUGGGGCUGAAGGGCAUCAUAGGAGCACUUAAGGUGCUAAAAAAUAGGCUACGAUGGAGAGUCGGUGAUCGGAUGAAUAUUAAUUAGUAUCCGUGACGACCCGUGGUUUCCAAUACCUUCUAUGUUCAAAGUGCGACCUCGGGAUGGAUUGCAAGCAAAUAUGGUAUGAGAAUUAAUUGAAUCGGAGCCAAAGGCCUAGAAAGUUGAUAUGAUACAUAGAUAUUUUAAUCGAGAAGAUGUGGAAGCAAUUCUUGGUAUUCCGUUAAGCAGAUGGGGCACAAUGACAGGAUGGUUUGGCAUCACACAAAGAACGGGUGUUACACGGUUAAAACGGGUUAUGGUGUAGCCUUGGGAUUGAUGGAAAAUGGAGGCUUGGGGAGGAAAGGAAAGGGAUCGUUGAGCAACAGUGGGAACCAUAACAAGGUAUGGAACAUGAUAUGGAAGCUGGAUGUGCCUAAUAAAUUUAAAUUUUUCUUGUGGAGAUUUUGCAUCAAUGCUUUGGCAGUAAGGGGAAAUUUACAAAGCAGACACAUGCAUGAGAGUUGAUAAUAUUUAUGGGGUGUGUGGCACGAUCAACGAGACAGAAAACCAUAUAUUUUUUAGAUGUAAACUAAGCCAUGUGUUUUGGUUCUGCUCACCUCUUCAAAUAAAUUCUUUUGAGUUGAAAGGACCUGACUUCCUUGCGAGUUGGGAAAUUUUUUGUAAUAGAGUUAAAAGCAUGGACAAUGCAGAUGAGAUCGUGCAAGAUUUAGUUUUUGGUUUAUGGAGAUUGUGGAAGAACAGAAAUGAAGCCGUAUUUCAUGGAGUGCACAAACAUCCGAUGGAGAUUUUGGAGAUAUGAAAGAAGAACAUUGGGGAAUUUAGAGGAGCGAAGCUACAGGUGGCUGCCCUUUCAUGCAGGUUUGGUGCGGCGGUGAAGGAGGUAGCGAAAGGACAAAAUGAGGCAUGGCAGAAACCGGAGUUUGGGACUGUUAAGGUUAGUACCGAUGUGGCAUGCAAAGAGUCAUUACGAGCAGAAAUGGGUUGGGUUGCUCGUGAUUUUGCUGGGUUGGUGCAGGCGGCUGGAGGCUCGGGUGAUCUGCAUUUUUCAAAUGCAGCAACGGCUGAAGCUGCGGCCAUUCAAGAAACGAUGGAAUUUUGCAUUGAGAUGGGAUAUGAUAAAGUCAUUUUUUAGUCUGAUGCAAAUAAUGUAGUACAGAUGAUCAACAAGGAGUUUGAACCUGACUUUGCUCUGGAGUGCAUCCUAGGGGACAUAUGUGAUCUUGUUCCAAAAUUGAGUUCGGUGAAAUUUGCGUUUGUUACUAGAGAGUGUAAUCGUGCUACACAUUUGGUGGCAAAAUUUGUUUUAAAGAGGGUCGUCCCCUUGUUUGGGAUUGUAUUGUCUCGGAUUUCCUAUUUAACAUUUUGGCACAAGAUGUAAACCUUGUAAAGCAACAUAGAAUGUUGCAGAGAUAUACAGUAUGUAGGAGUUUCAGUGAUAGAAAGAGAAAGCUUGUAGAGGAAGAAAAGUCUUUGUAUUUCCAAUAUUGUAAACUUACAGAAGUGAAUGUAAUUACAUGAGAUUAUAUAUAUAUAUAUAUAUAUAUAUAUCUCUCUCUCUCUUACAAUUGCUUAGCAACUAAGCUAACUACCUUGAUAACUGCCUAACUAAUCUUGUCACACAUGGCAUACUAUAAGACCAUUGAUUCAUUACAGUUAUAUUGUUAUCAUCCCUCUCAAGCUUAUGAGAGAAAACCUGAGAUUGCAAAAAUGUGUAUGAAACAAUGGUGAUGACAGGCCCUUGGUCAAGAUAUCAACAAAUUGUUCAUUGGAAGACACAAAUUGCAUUUGUUUAAGCUGUUUGGCUACUCUCUCUCUCUCUCGAACAAAAUGAACAUCAAUUUCUAUAUGUUUUGUCCUCUGAUGCAUGACAGGAUUGCAAGUAAGUGCAAUCGCAGACAAGUUGUCACAAAACAUAGUUGUUGGAGUAGGAACCUGAAUAUGUAGAAAAACAAGUAAUGGCCUAAUCCAAUCAAUUUCAGCUCUGUGGAUGCAAUAGCCCCAUAUUCAGUUGUGGACCAAUAUAUAGGAUUUGAACCCAAGAACACCACCAAAUCAGUUGUAGACAUUCUAUCAUUGGGAUUUCUUGUCCAAUCAGCCUCACUAUAAGCAUGUAAAUUCAAAACACAUUUGCCAAACUAAAUACCUUAAGAUUGUGUCAUUUUUAAGUAUCUCAAAAUGCGUUUGACAGCUAAGAAAUGGGACUCCGUUGGAUUUUGUUUCUUGGAAGACCAAGAGAUAGGAUUUGAACCCAAUAACACCACCAAAUCAGUUAUGAACCUUCUGUUAUUGGGAUCUCCUGUCCAAUUAGCCUCACUAUAAGCAUGUAAAUUCAAAUCACCUUUGCCAAACUGAAUACCAUAAGAUUGUGUCCCUUUUAAGUAUCUCAAAAUGCGUUUGACAACUAAGAAAUGAGACUUCGUUAGAUUUUGCAUAAACUGACAGACUUGAUGAAAUAAGAAUGCAAUGUCAGGUUUAUAAAGGUGAGGUAUUGAAAAUCCCCGACCACACUUUUAUAUAGCUCGGGAUUGUUGGAAGAAGUGCCAUCAUCCUUUAACAAUCGAUUAUAAGGCAAACAAGGUGUUCAUAGAAGGUCGAACAAGGCCCAAUCGAGUUGGUUCUAAUUAGUUGUACGAUUGCACCAAGACCUUUAAAACGUUCAUAGUACGCAGGGAAGGAUUCUCCUUGAUUUUGCUGAAUACCACUAAUCAUUUUGCGUAGAAAAAUGACUCGAGAAGUUGGGUAAAACUUUUCCAAGAACGCCCGUUUCAUGCUCUCCCAAGAUGUGACAGUUCCGGGAGCUAAUUCAUAUAACCAAUCCUUGGCAUUUUCCAUGAGAGAAAAGGGAAAAGCCUUCAUUUUCAGAAUGCUCCCAUUAACAUUCACAUGGGUCAUGCUUGAACAAACAACCUCAAACUCCUUCAAAUGUUUAUGAGGAUCUUCCAUGGACAACCUAUGGAACUUAGGAAUAUGGUGCAAUAGGCUAGACUUUAAGUGGUUGAUUUUGCAUUGUUUUCAAGUGGUUGAAAACAAUGCAGAAUCAACCACUUAAACUAAUUGACAUGACAUGACAUUCAAUAGAUGGUCAUUCAAGUGGUUGAUUCUGCAUUGUUUUCAAAAGUUACUCUAUAUAUCCUCUUUUAAAUGCUCAUGUAUUUGGUUUGGGUAUCCUCUUUUUCGUGCAUCAUUCCUAAGUUUGUCACGUUGGGGUUUAGUGAAAGUGGUUGGAAAUCGUUUAGUAACCAAAUAGUUCACCAAAUCUGCAUACCAAGGUUCACUUACCUCAAUGGACAACAAUUGCUCAUCCGGGAAUGUCUCUAAAAGAGGGAGAGAGUUCUCUUUAUGCACCAUAUGGCUUAGGUGGUCAGCCACCAUGUUUUCACUCAUUUUCUUGUCCCGAAUUUCAAUUUCGAACUCUUGGAGAAGAAGCAUCCAUCAAAUAAGUCUUGGUUUAGCCUCCUUCUUUGUAAGCAAGUAUUUCAAUGCUGUAUGGUCAGAAUAGACAAUCACUUUAGUUCCAAUUAAAUAUAAACGAAAUUUAUCUAAAGCAAAGACAACAACAAGAAGUUCUUUUUUCGUUGUGGAAUAGUUCAAUUGAGCAUCAUUUAAGGUGCGUGAUGCAUAAUAAAUGACGUGUGGCUGUUUGUUCUUCAUUUGGCCCAAAACAGCUCCAAUUGCAUAAUCAGAGGCAUCGCACAUGAGCUCGAAAUGAAGGCUCGCACACUAUCAGAGAUGGGAUAGAUCAUCCAACGACUAUCAGAGAUGGGAUAGAUCACUCCACAAUCAAAUACCUUGAUUAUCUCAUUCUUCACAACUUCCAUCAUAGGAGGGUUGAGUCGGCGUUGAGCCUCUAGAGAUGGUUUAGCCCCCUCCUCUAGAAGUAUGCGGUGCAUGCAAGUGGUAUGACUUAUUCCCUUAAUGUCAGCCAAGGUCCAUCCAAUUGCAGUUUUGUGCUUCCGUAACACCCUCACCAAUCUGUCCUUUUCUUGUGCUGUGAGUAUGCUUGAGAUGAUGACGGGCAACAUCUCAUUAUCUCCCAAGAAGACAUACUUUAAGUUACUUGGUAACGGUUUAAGUUCUAGGGAAGGUAACCACUGAGGGAAGUAACUUAUUAGUAGAAACUAAAUAGGAAAUUGGGAUUGGAAGCUUACCAAAUUGUAGUGGCAGUGACUCAAAUGCAGCAACCAUCUCAACCACCUCCUCACUAGGAUGCACGGCAAGGUCUUCUUCAUGGUGGCCGUGGGUUUGUUUGUUUGCUGCCGUAUGGUUUUUGGACUCCAUUCCAUUUAGAAGGGCCGUUUCAAGUGCACCGUCAUGUAAUUGUUCAAGAUGUACCUGCGGUAAUGAAUCAACAAUAUCAAUUGAAAAACAGGAAUGAUCAUUACUAGGGUACCUCAUGACAUCUGCAACUUGAAAGUUUAUAAUGUCGCCAUCAAACUCCAUGGUCAAUGUCCAUGUGAACACGUCAAUCUUGGUUUGAGCCGUCUUUAUGAAUGGUCGGCCAAGUAAGAUGGGCAAUGGGGAAGAGUGGGUUGAAUCCUCUAUCUCAAGAAUAUAAAAAUCAGCCGGGAAGAUCAAGUGAUUGACCUGCACCAAAGCACCCUCCAAAACUCCCUUUGGAUAGGCAUUAGAUCUAUCGGCUAAUUGAAUAAUUACGCCAUCAUUUUUCAGCUCACCUAAGUUCAUGGAUGCAUAAAUUGAAUAUGGCAUGACAUUUAUUGAUGCAUCUAAGUCAAACAUGGCAUGUUCGAACUGGGUAUUUCCAAUAACACAAGGGAUAGUAAAGCUACCUGGGUCAUUGCACUUAAGAGGCAGUUUGCGUUGCAAAACAGUGGACACAUUCUCACUUACCUUUACUACCUCAUUGUUCGACGUUCUCCUCUUGGUUGUGUACAACUCCUUCAAGAACUUGGCAUACUUCGGGACUUCUUUGAUUGCGUCAAGGAGCGGGAUGUUCACUUGCACUUUCCUAAAAGUGUCAAGAAUGUCCUUGUCGCUUUCCUCCUUCUUUGUUUGCAUGAAUCUGCGAGGAAAUGGUGCAGCAGGUGGAAUAGGGUUAGAAUUAACACAAUUUGAACCCAACUUACCUGUGGUGGAUGAUUUAUGGGUGCUCGGAGUGCACGGCAAGGUUGUUUCCUUCAUUGCCGUGGGUGUAUGUUGGACAUCUUCCUCUUGUUGCAGCUUUUCAUCCUCUGUUUGGGCAGAUUUUGAUGGUUGGGGGUCCAUUCUAACUUCUUUUCCACUUCUCAACGUAAUGGCCUUGGCGGAUUCAAAUCCUUCCCUUGGAUUCACAACGGUUGUGCUAGGCAGUUUGCCUUGCUCUUUGAAUUGCCCCAUGAACUCCGCCAUUUGGCCCAUUUGUUUCUUCAACUCAUCCACCUCCUUAGCUUGAUUGAGCAUUAUUUUGUUUUGAUUUUGUUGUCCCUGCACCAAAGAGGUUAGUAAUUGAACAAUUUGAUCAUUAUCCAUGGAUGUACAUGAAUUGGUUUGGGCAAGUUGUGGUUGAGGUUGUGUUGGUGUGUAGAGCCUUGGGUAUAUCCCAGUGUAGAGCCUUGGGUAUAUCCCAGGAGGUGGUGGCCGAAUUCCUUGAGGUUGUUGAGACUCCUUCCAUUUGAAAUUUGGGUGAUCACGCCAUCCCGGAUUGUAAGUGUUGGCAUAUGGAUCAUAUCAGGGCUGAUUCGGGCCUUGGUAGCCAAUGGCGUUUGCACUUUCCCAUCCACCAUUCUCAAUCAAUUGAGGACACUUCUUAGAUGGGUGGCCUUGAAUGGAGCAUACACCACACACACUUGGGGAAAUUCCUUGCGUUUUGCAUCCUUCCAUAAACUAUGAAAACAUCGAAGUAAGGUUAGUUAUUUGAGAUUGCAAAUUAGAAACGGAACUUACCUGGAAGGAUUCUCCUUGAUUUUGCUGAAUACCACUAAUCCUUUUGCAUAGAAGAAUGACUCGAGAAGUUGGGAAAAACUUCUCCAAGAACGCCCGUUUCAUGCUUUCCCAAGAUGUGACAGUUCCGGGUGCUAAUUCAUAUAACAAAUCCUUGGCCUUUUCCAUGAGAGAAAAAGGAAAAGCUUUCAUUUUCAGAAUGCUCCCAUCAACAUUCACAGGGGUCAUGCUUGAACAAACAACCUCAAACUCCUUCAAAUGUUUAUUAGGAUCUUCCAUGAACAACCCAUAGAACUUAGGAAUAUGGUGCAAUAGGCUAGACUUAAAAACAAUGCAGAAUCAACCACUUAAACUAAUUGACAUGACAUUCACAUAUGUUUUAAGGACCUACUACGAUUAAACUAAUUCUAACCGCAUGAUGGUAGGGUUCUCUCCAGUUCAGUGUUUAAAAUAUCGAUAUUUAUGGAAAUAUCAAUGAUAUGCUAAUUUGUACAAAUAUUGAUACCAAUAUUAGUUGUUUUCGAUAUAAAUGAUGGAAUUUAGAACAAAAUUAUAGAGAUUGUCAAACAUUGGUUUGGAAAAAAAAAAAAUAAGUGUUUCUCCGAUAUUUAACAGUGUGUCAGAAAUAUCGACGAUAUCUGUCGAUUUUAGCCUAAACUUAAGAGUUUCUCCAAAAUGAGGUGAAGUUUAAACUUCACCACCCAUUUUCCUUACUUUCUCUAAAUUUUUUUGGAUAUUUCCAUGGAAAAUCAACCGUAUCGAAUAAAUUUUAAACUCUAUUCUUGUCACACUUCCAAGUUCGAAUUAUGAACACACGUGGCGUGGCUAUAAUCUAGUACAAUUCAAGGGUCAAUGAAAUUCCAAGGGUAAAUUAUAGUUUUUGCGGUAUCAAAUUUGUGUCAAAUCGCAACUUCAUAUAAUAAAUGGUCUCUAAAAUUGACCUUGACCAUCAAUAUGGUAAUGUAGUCCCUAAAAAUAGAUGUCGCAAAUCAAUAUGGUCAUUCCGUCACAAUUAUGUUAAAAAUUCCGUUAAAUACUGAUGUGACACAUAAAUGGGCCUCACAAGAUUUACAGGUUUUUAUCACAAAUGGUCCAUGAAAUUGACUCACGUCAUCAAGAUGGUCCAUAAAAUUGACCCACACCAUCAAAAUGGUCCUUAAAAUUGAAAAUAGAUUAAUGUAGUCCUUGAAAAUAGGUAUCGUAAAUCAAUAUGAUCGUUCGAGUUGGUUCUAAUUUUCAUGUAAUGGGGUUAAUCUUCGGUCAAACAUUGUUUCCUCGUCAAUAUGAACUUUCAGUAGCUAAAACCUGGAAGGGUGAAAAACAGAAAACGUGAGUGGGCAAAAAACAAAGCUUUUUGAAACCAUUUCUCUUUCCAAAAAUAAUAACCCCUCAUUGUAAAUAAUAAUACAUACGUAUAUAGAAAUCAGGCUUGAGAGCAAUGAAAACCAAAGUAUGUGCCAUGUCAAGUAUCUCGGCAAAUAAUAUGUAAGACAGGUGCUGUGAAUCAAUAUAAAAUGAUAUGUCAGCCGGAGUCACCUAAUGUGAUAUGUACGACUAAACCUAUAGCUCAUAAACCAAUUCUUGCACACGAGUCAGAACCACCUAUUGUGGUCUGUAUGACAGAGCUUGGUGUAAAUAAGUAUGCUUAAGUGCUACGAUCACGUGAAGUCUGUGCGAUAAAUCACAAGUCACCUACAAGUCGGAACCACCUAUUAUGGUCUAUACGAUAAGGUUGUGCACCAAACUUGGAUCCAAGGUGAACGUGUGGUGCGGGAGGUGAACAUCACGUGAAGGACUAUGCCCUGGCCACGGGCGGGAGCACUAACAUUGAGGUGCAGGAUAAUGAGCUCUAAAUGCAUCUACGUAUAACCAUACACAAUGCAACCACCAUUAUCAUAAUGUACUCACCUAAAGCUUACCUGGGCCUCUGCAGCAUCAUUCAAUAGUAUGCAAAACCAUCCUAAUGCAAAUACUAAAAUAUAAUGCAUCAUUGACAUGACAUUUAAAUCGUAGAUUCAUUUAAAAAUAGUUUUUGGAAAUCGUAAAGCAUAUAUAUAUAUAUAUAUAUAACAAAAGCCCAUUCACUUGGAGUCCGCGCUACAACUCCCUAGCACGAAUAUCGAGGCGUCACGAACGUUCGGCGUCUAGAACAAUUAUCAAAUCACAUCUUAGAAUUCUUAUUGAUAGAAUAUGUAACUUACGCAAAGCACAUCCCUAAGGCGCUAAUGAUUCGAGACCCAUUGACUAAAAGUUAACCGUCGUUUAAAGAUUGACGGUAGGGUCUACAACCCUACGUAACUCGAUCUGAAAGAUCCACACUUUGGAUUUCCGAUCCGUAACUUCCAAAUAUCCACAUUAUGCUUCUAAAACAUCAUACUAAAGUUUCAUUACGAUCCAACGGUUGGAUCUCCGCCAAUUGUAAAUUCAAGUGACGGUUAACGCUUUAUUUUAUGAACUUACAAUUCCAAUUCGGGAAGAUCCGAGUGUUGGAUUCCUGAUCCAUAAGUUCCUAUGAUUCUUAAAUAUUACGUACUAUAACAUAUUGAAUUUUGAUGACGAUCUAACGGUCGGAUCGUCAAUUCAUACUUUUACCAAGUAACACACCUUAAUUAAACUAGAUUCAUAAUAAUCAAAUCACAUCAUAUGAAUAUGAAAUCUGAGAUCAAUAUAUCGAUUUAGCGUAAAAUAGCAUCGGUGGCCCACUGGCCACACAUAGCCGCAUGCGCUGCCGCUGGUGGUGGUCGGGCGCCCUGACUCGCUAGAAAAUUCAACUAUUUCUAAAAAUUCUCAAAUUUUACAGGAAUGAAGAUCUUAAUGAGUGGAGCAACUUUCAUACUUGUGACUAAGGCCAAUUUGGCUGAAAAAGCCUCAAUUUCACGAAAACUCGUCGACACCCUAGAAAUUGGUGGUUCUUGACUCAACUCCAUCCAAGCUUCGACGCCUCCAAGGUUGAUUGGGCUUUGUUUCUAGGUUCAUGGAGAGUCUAUUGGUGGUGUUAAUUGAAUGAAAACGUUUCAGGUUUGGUGGAUCUCGGCCAAAGGUCCUCAUGGCACCCAUGGUUCCGUCGGGAUGUUUUCCUCAAAAUACAACCAAAUUCAUUAUACUUUUAAGUGGAAAAGGAAGACGGAAGGUAGUGGAAUGUUUUCCCAGGUGAUGGAUGGCGGCGAUUCGCCAAAAAAAUCGCCUGCAAAGGCGUCAGAAUGUGUGGAGAAGCCAAGUUGGGCACGGGUUAAGGAGAACCUGGCGGGUUCCUCUCUUUCUUCUCCUUCCUCCUUUCCCUCAUUUCCCUCAUCCCUGGUUGGUCACUCUCUUCUCUCUCCUAUCCCCAUUAGCCUUCACAUCUCCCUCUUUCACUCAUUUAUUUCCUAUCUCCACCGCUCAUCUCUAUUUUCCUUCAAUUUGGCCACACAUGUGGCUCUAUCAGAUUAUGCUCCAAAAAUCUAGAGCAUUCCAGAAAAUAACCAAUUUACUAAAAUGCCCCCCGACUUUAAACAUUAAUAACUCAUUCGUUAUAACUCUAAAACACAUUAUGUUUGCCCCUACACGUUAGUAGUGAUGAGUACUACCACAAUACUCCAAGAAAACGAACCUUACGUGACACGACACGCAGUGGCGAAGCCACGUGAGGGCGAGGAGUGGCGGCCGCCACUCCCCUCGCCGGGAAACACCAUUGCAGAGCUGGGUUCGCCACUCCCCUCCUCUUCAGAAAACCCACUGGUUCAUCUUCUGUUUGUGUUGUUGGGUGAUCUGUUCUGCUGCGCACAGCAGCAGCAGAUAUGCAAUUUUUUUUUUGGAGUAGGUUGCGAUGGGAUCGAUGAAGGGCUUCGACUUCGAGUUUGCAGAUUUGCCAUGGCAGGAGUAGUGGUAGGAGAAAUGAGGUGUUUGGUUAUCAACAUAGUAGUACUGACUACGGCUCCGGAGCUGCUGUCCCGAAAGUGGUGUCUCCUUCAUGUCUCCUUCUUUAUUUGUUUGACGGAAAUGGGGCAGGAUGUGGGCGCACCUGGGUUCGAAGAAAAAACAUUGAAGACGUCAUCUGCUUACAAGCUGGUUCGCCAUUGACGGACAAGAAGAAUCCAUAUGCGAUAGAUUUUGUCACCGGCCAUGGAAAUGGUGGCUCGAAGCUUUGUGAAGAAAGACCCGAACUAACGUUGAAAUCAAGCAGAGACACCACCUCACCUACCGCUGACAAGCGGUGAUGCUUUUCUUUUUGGCUUCUUCUACUUCCUAGAAAGAGAAUUUUCAGUUUGUUUCUAGGGAAAAUUGGGAUGGAAAUUUGGAAUUUGAUCUUUCAUUAUGAUUUGGGGUCAAUUGUUUUGUGUUUUGCAAGAACCAAGGGGAUUCUAGCCCUGGUUUUAAUUUACUUUUUAUUAUUUAUUUGUUAACUUAUUAAAAGUUAACAAAGUUAUGUUUAACUCUCACAUUAUUUAUUUAAGACCAAUAGCGUAUUUAUCUUAAACUUUCAUAUUAUCUACAAAUAUUGUACUAAUUUUUAAAAAAUAAUGUAAAUUUUGUUUAAUACUUAUUUUACGAUAUAAAAAAUAUAUUUAAAUUCAUCUAGGCACCUACUUAAAUCUUGUCUAGGCACCUAGCUGCUAGGUCUCAAUCCAUAGCGCCUAAUGUUUUUUUUAGAAUCUAAUCCUAACCAAUUUAAGCUUCUUACAUGGCUUUGAUAUUACCGCUUACAACCGUUGUGGUGAAGAGACUGUUUUCUGUUAUGAAUAUUAACUUAAAACUUUGCACUGUCCAAUAUAAAAACAACCGCUUCGAUUGAAACCUUGCAUUCUUUUGAAUUUCGCCCCUCCCCUCGAUAAAUUCUAGCUUCGCCACUGACGACACGGCAGUCAACAAAAAUCAACACUUUGCCUUGAAGGGCAUUUUCGUAACUUCACUUAUUAAAAUUAUAAAAAUCAUAAUUUUUUAGAGACAGGUUGUUACAAUGAUUUAUAUGUAUGAGAUAUAUAAACUCAUAAUUAUAUACAACUCGUGACAAUUCGUAGAGACCUAUUCAUUUCAGAUGAAAGCGAUAUGAGAAAUUUGUCCAAAACCAAUUGGUGUACUUUUAUAACCAGGCAAAGUGGUAAAUAUGACUUGCAGAUUCUGAUGCGAACAAAGAAAUGGGUUUGAUUUUGUACAUUUCCGCAUUCAAUUGAAUGGAUUUCAACCUAAAUUUAUGAUCCAUGGGAUUCAAUGGAUGUGUUUUACAAAGAAAGUUGAGGUUCCACUAUAAAAUUAAUAGACAAUAUGGAGAAUAGUCCAACAUUUUAUAAGCCCUUGCAAUGUUUCUCUUUUCACUGAUAUAGAAUUCUUUUAUCUUCACAUCCUCACUCGCUUCCUCACAUGUGGCAAAUUUUCAAGCCAAACAUGAAUUAGGUGACAUAAAGUACGUGUGGCCGUUAGGCUUCACACAUAUGCCAACCCACUAUGAUACCAUGAAGAAAGUUGAAGUUCCACCAUAAAACUAAUUAGCAGCCCAACCUCUUAUAAGUCAUUGCAAUUUUUCUCCUUUCACUAACAUAAGACUCUUUUAUCUUCACAUCCUCAUAUGUUAAAGAAGAUGGACAAAUUAGCUGGUGGUAUAAGGACAAUAUGGUUUCACUAACAUAAGACUCUUUUAUCUUCACAACCUCUUAUAACCAUGCAUGUUUUAUAAACAUUCAUAUGGCCUCAAUUUUGGUAUUUUGGUUUCUACAUUUUAAGACAUUAAGGACAUGGCUCAAACGGUGGCUUUAAAAACCUCGUGGACGACUUUAACACCUUAGUCCUUAUGUUCAAUUUGUUCGUAGUUAAGAACCAAUGACUUGAAGAGUAGCUGAGUUGAAUUUAUUGUUUUGCUUCUCACAUGCUAAACGUUAUCCUUGACAAUGAAGUUGAAAGUCAGAGUACAUCGAAUAGAUGAACAAACAUACUACAAAACUGAUAAAAAAAAAAAAAUUUGGUAAAAAAUAUUUAAAAAGUGAAAAACAAAUAUGGAAGAUUCUAGUAAAAAUGAAUAUUGAGUUGUGAAGGGGAAAUGAAGAAGAUGGUUGGACUUUUAUAGAAUAACAAUAUAAAAAAAAUUCUUUUUUUUAUUAUUUUUACCAUUGGAUUAAUCUUAGCUGUUGAUUUUCAAACAAAUUUGAAAUCGGACGCACCAGAAUGCGCCACGUGCCACAAGAUAAAAUUUUAAUUUUUUUACUGUUGAAAAUGGCACGGUCCAAAUACUCUGGUCUUUAGAAAUCUAACGGUUGCAAGGAAGCCAAGUCAACGAGCCAUUGGGCUAUGUUAAUUUGCUGCAGCAAGGCCCACUGUUGUAGUUUUUGUCUCCCAAUUGCCAAAAUCACGUGAGUGCUACAUGCGCCUGACAGAAAAAAAAAAUUAAAAUAGUGGUUGACGUCAUGCGGACAUCGGCUGCCUGCUAGGGUAAGUUCAGGCUUAUCUUGCUUGACCUUUUAGACGGGCUGGUAUUGGCCUAAAAUUUACCCUCGACAAAUUGUCCUUGCCAUCCACCAAUCGGUGGACAUGCUCUAAUAGGAGCUGAUUUUCACAUACCCUUUUUCACCUCUCACACAUUACUCUGAAACAAAAAUAAAAAAUAUAAUUAAAGAGAAGCUAUAGGAGGGUAAAAGCUUUGUGUGGUUAUAACUUAAAAGUUACUUGUUUCUCAUCAAUGAUCACAUAAAGGCUAGAACUAGGGAGCAAUAAGUCCAUGUCCAUAAAGGCCCGAUCUAGUACAAUGUUGGGCUUGAGAAAACCUUGCUCGUGUUCUUGUGGGAGAUCCUAGCCGAGAGAAGAUAGAGUUACAGGAAAGGUUUUGGCUUUUUUAUUUUGUUUGGCUUUUUUCUUCUUUUUUUUUUCUUUCUUUCUUGUCGUCCUACCUUGUGCAUAUGUUGUAUUUUUUUUGUUUUGUUGCAGCUAUGAUAUUUUUCAAGUGCUUUAAGAGCAAUACCAUCACUAUUCUUGCGAAGGAAGGUGAUUCGCAAGAUAGGGGAAUGACGUUAAAGUUUUGUGCGCCAUUGACUGGCCCUAAGACACUUGUUUUUCCUGCAAAAGACAACUCGAUGCAUAUCAAGUCGUGGUCUUCUGAAGUAUCUUGGGAGGUGAUAGAUUUUGGUAGACCAAAAACAAAGAAGAAAGUGUGUAUGUCGAGGAUUCUUAUCUUGAAUCCUUCACACCAUGUUCGUGACAAUCCACAAGCUUUGUUUGAGCUUCUUGGUGAUCGCAUCCGUAGCGGAGCUAUGACUUGGAAUAGCACCUUAUCGACUACUGGAGAGGCCGUCUUUGCUAAGUUUUACUAGGAGUGGCUUGAAGAUGUCUUGGGCGGAUCUAAAGAUGUGCUUACCAACGUGGGCCUUUAUCACAUCGUGUACACAUCUUUGUUUAGUUAUGAUCGUCAUCCUUCCAUCCUUCGUGCGUUCUUUGAGCAUUGGUGUUCAGCAACCAACACACUUCACAUGUCAUAUGGGGAGAUGUCGAUCCAUAUUCAAAUAACGAAGAUUUAUGAAGAAGUAUUGCGCUAUUUACCUGUGAGUGGUAUUUUUGGAUUGAUCCUUUGGUGGGAAAUGUUCUUCAUUUUAAACUGACUGCACAAUAUAUGAGGAACGUAGACAAUUCGAGAAUCUCCAAAAUCCUCACAAAGAGGAUCCUCAUUCAAAAUACAAAAACAAAAAUUAAAUUAAAUUUCAACCACAAUGUGCGAACAAGCCCAACAGCAAUGAUUCGUGCAUUUCGAUGGGUGGGCAGUGCUAAACCUGUAAACGGGUCAUGUUUAUUAGGUUUGGGUCGGGUUCAAUCCGACCCGUUAAGUUAACGGGUCACCCGAACCCAACCCGUUAAGCUAACGAGGCAUCCGAACCCGACUCGUUAAGCUAAUGGAUUUGAAGUAACUAAUCGAGUACUUCAAACAUCACAUGAAAUACAAGGUGCUCAUACAAUCGAUUAACAAUGUGUAUUAAUUUAUCUUUUCCUUUUGGUCUUCCCGAAACUUCUACCAUUUUUCUUUCUUUCCUUCCCACUUCUUCCUUCCCGAAAUUUUCUUCCUUGCACUGCAGAGAGAAAGCACUACAAAUUUAUGUUUUACAACUCCAAAUUUGAUUUCGUUUUUUCCUACAAAUUUCUGGAGAAGAGCAUUGCAAGGUAAUUGACUUUUGGGUUUACAGCAGAUUUUGAUAUUUUGUGUGCUUUCUGUUUCGUUUUUCCAGAAUCCGGCGAGCUCCGUGACCAAUCCCGGCCAAGCUUGACCACGGUUGUUACUUACAAUGGUAGAAUCUUAUUCCUUUUCAUUUUAGCAUCAUUUUUGUGCUUAAAUUACAAUUUUUAAUGGAGUUUUAAGUCGAGAUCGGAAUCAGGAUGAAUCCCUGCCAAAUAUUCUGGUGUUCUCCCUUGAGGGUUCCGGUGACCUAUGUUUUAAAUCGUGGCUGACAUCGCCCAGACAUCAGCCUUGCGUCACGUCGCCUUCGGGCUCUCGGGCUGGCAACUCGUGCCAAGCCUGUCGCUCGGGCCGGGCCUAUCCCUCAGGCUGCCACACGCUAGACCAAAUCCGUCCGGCUCUCUGGCCCUGUUCACCCCUAUCUCCCGAGCAAGAGCUCCCGCUGGAGCUGCUUUAAGAGCAAGUCCACCGGGGAUGAGAAAGGCCAGCACCCAGCCAAAAUACUAGCCCGGCACCCAGUGAAACCACUCCAGCCCAGCAUUUUGAUCGGCACCCAGCCCAAGCUGGUCUCCAGGCCAGCCUAAAAUCGACAGAGGCGUGAGCCGGCCCGUAUGAUGCCAGCAUGACGUCGUGGGCUUUUUAAAUUUUUUUUUUUGCAAUCUCCACCUGCACCGCCUCACCACAAUCUCCACCUCCAUCACUCUCCGUCGCGCCUCCGACGCCUCCCGAUCCCUGAGGUUCUUGGAGUUCUGUUCGUCGAUGUACCUGAGGUUGUCUUUAAAGAUUUGGAACUGCCGCUCAUUCUCUCCCAGGGCGUUGUAUGCCUUGCUGUGCUCCGCCAGCCACCCCUCGUAAAUCGACAUCACCUCAUCGUCGGUCCUCCAGCUACCUGUGGACUUGCUGUCUCCGAGGUUGUUGUCGUAUGAGAUGAUGGACAUGUCGAGGGCCGAUGAGACAGUGAAGAUCGUGAGGAGGAGAACCGCCACGGCCAGCGACGAUCAGUACGGCCCCAUUUUUUUGCUGUGUUUGUAUGCUGAGAAAAUAGAGAGGAGAAGGGUGGGAGUGAUAAAAUAUUAAAAUAUUAAUAUUAGAUGAUAAAAUAAUAAUUGAUAUGAAUAAAAUAAUAAUUGAUAUGAUAAAAUAUUAAUUGAUAUGAAUAAAAUAAUAUAAUAUUAGAUAGACUAGGUGUCAGCGCAUUUUUAGGGGUGGAGAUGCAUUGACCUAUUACUGUUCACUAAAGUAUUUCACUUGAGUAGAUAAAUGAGUUGGGUGCUGGCACAAAGUCCUUAGACCAUCUUCAACCCUUGGGCUAAAAGCCAAAUUUUUUAGCCCCGGAAAAUUUAGCUUUUAGCCCAGAAACAUCUUUUCUGCUCCAACCCGUCUACCCUAAAAUUUUAGCCCGGAAUUAUUAAAGAAUGAAAUUAGCCUAAAUUUUUUUCUUAAAUCAAUUUUUUUUUAAAUAAAUAUGUAGAUUAUUGUAAAUUAAUUUUAUGAACAUUUUAAUCUAAAAAAAUUUAAAUUCCGAUAAACAUUUCGCAUUUAGCCCGGGGGGAAAGCUGGGGGGUAUUUGGCCCAGAAAUAGCAUUUGGCAUUUAGCCUAAAAUUUUAGCAUGGGUUGGAGAGUGUUUGGGGGGUAAUUUGACUUUUAGCCCAGAUGGUCUUAGGGGUGGAUUUGCUCUAAGAGAUAAAAAGUAGACUGUGAAAAAUUGUACCUGAAAUUUUAUAUGUAUUAUUACCUAGAUUUCCGGUUGCCCCAGUUGUAUGGAGCCGGUUGGCCGGUUCAGUUGAAGCCUACCAACCCUCUCUCUCCUACCUACCCCCUACUACUUAUCCUCCCUCUGUCCCCCAACCCUUUUCUUCACCUCUCACCGCACAUCACCCACUAUUGGUCACUGACUGACUUGAGUGGCUGAGCUCUCCACAACUACCAUGGCUGCCUCCACCGCCGCCCUCAUUUCCUCGGCCCCCUCCCGCGCUUUCUCCUCCUCCAAAUCCACCCCUCUCGUCGCCGCCUCCUCCAAACCCAUCUCCCAAACCCUGACCUUCCCCAAAUCCAUCCACGGCCUCCGCCUCCCCCGCGUCGCCCAUUCCGCCUCCCUCUCCCGCGGCGGCUCUCACGCCCGGAAGUCCUUCGUUGUCAAAGCCUCCGCCGUUGAGCUUCCCCUCGUCGGAAAUGUUGCUCCUGAUUUCGAAGCCGAGGCUGUUUUCGACCAGGAAUUCAUCAAGGUCCAAUCUUUAACUUAAUUCAUCGUUUUUGUUUUGUUUUGCAAUCGCAUCUGUAUUUUGAUUUUCCGGUCUGUUUGGGAUUUGCUUCUGAGAGAUUUAAAUUGAUUCUGGUUCAUACAAGUGCUUUCUAGAGAAGCACCUGCCAGAUGCUUCGUCAACAAGCACUUCUAUGUUCUUUGAGGAAGCAUUUGGACUUCGAUAGAAACUUCAAACAUGUUUCAAAUAAAAUAACUUCUAGCAUAAGCGCUUCUGAGCAGAAGUGCUUCCUAUAGAAGGGGUUCCCAAUGACUAGUGAGCCCUUUGUUUCAUUUCAAUUGAAGAUUUGGUUUUGGAUUUCAGGUCAAGCUCUCUGAGUACAUUGGGAAGAAGUAUGUGAUUCUCUUUUUCUACCCAUUGGACUUCACGUUUGUUUGUCCUACAGGCAAGCAUGGUUUCGCAAUCAGCAUUUCUGCAUACAAGUUUUUAAUCUUUAUUGAAUUCUGGAUGAAUCUAACUGAAUCUGAUUGAUUUGUUCAAAAAUUUAUGAACCCAUCUUGCAGAGAUCACCGCUUUCAGCGACCGCCAUGCUGAGUUUGCGGAGCUCAACACAGAAAUCUUGGGUGUUUCAGUUGACAGUGUGGUAUGUUGCCCUGCUCCCCACUUUCUUCAAUACCACAAUCUGCCACACAUACCACAAAAAGUCAAUGUUCUGCCUAUAUACGACGAAAAAGUUCAGCCUAGACAUGUAGCCAUGUUCUCAUGCAAAGGUCAAUAGCUGCAUAUCGCACAUGCGAUAAUAUGCUAAGUUGCACCUUGAACUAUAUGCAUGCUUUGUUCUUUAGAUGAGUAAACAAAUAAAUACCGUAACAUGAGUUCUAAAAGUGUCAAUUUUGUGCAUUGGGAUUUUUGACUUCGAAAUGAAAUUGGACUCGUGGUAUGGGUCGUAGACAAUGCAUGUGGUUUUGGUUGAGCCAAAAGAUCAAUUCCCAUUGUUGGUGGAGAAAGAAUACUUAAUAGACAAGGAGGAUAUUCAACCAAGAAAAAUAAUAGCAAAGUUGAAAUAGAAAUUGAAUCAUCUGGAAUACUAUAAUUGAGGUUAAUCAAACAGAGUUACUAAGAUUGGCGACAUUGGAGAGUUGUGUUCUAGCUGAUGGUUGAUGAAUGAUGUGAAUCUACGUAUUUUCUGCUAUUUUUUUCUUAUGUACAUCUAACUUGUGUGCCUGUGUGUCUCUCUUCGAUGUAAAGUAGUUUUAAAGUUGCUGUUCCAUAGAUUGGUAAGAUGAAAUUAUGUUGGCCUUAUACUUUUUUUUUCUUUUUUCUUUUUUGUAGUUUUCCCACCUCGCAUGGGUCCAAACUGAUAGGAAAUCUGGCGGUCUUGGAGACUUGAAAUAUCCACUGAUCUCUGAUGUCACCAAAUCAAUUUCAAAAUCUUAUGACGUGCUGAUCCCAGAUCAGGUAUGAUAUGUAAUUAUAACUGAUUCUGAAAUUAAUGAAUGAUAAACUUGUGAAAUACUCAGUGCUGUGAUAUUCUGGAUUAUUUAGAUGUUUGGUUUCUCUGUGAUAGGGAAUUGCUUUGAGAGGACUCUUCAUUAUUGACAAGGAAGGCGUCAUUCAACACUCCACCGUCAACAAUCUUGCCAUUGGCCGUAGUGUAGAUGAGACUAAGAGAACGCUCCAGGUAAACAUAUUCAUCAAGUCCAAAAUAGAAAUAGGAUGCUUUAGUUUCCAAGAACUGCCAUACAUCUGAGAUUUUCUUCGUCGUGUUUCCUAUUACAUUUUAUAAUCGGUUUUUGUUGCUUCCUUUCGUUGCCUUUGUUGUAUUCUGCAGGCCUUGCAGUACGUGCAGGACAACCCCGAUGAAGUUUGCCCUGCUGGGUGGAAGCCUGGGGAGAAGUCCAUGAAGCCAGACCCCAAGGGCAGCAAAGAGUACUUCUCCGCAAUAUAAAGCUGGUACAUUGCAUAUCAUUAUCCAUGUCGAAUUCAAAUAGGGAGGUGUAAACGAGUUUUGUAGUUGUGUAAUCUCUUUUUUCAGUCCUUGGUUAUUUUGAGCAUCAGCAUGUCACAAUAAAACCCAAUCGAUGGGGCUUGCAUGACACGUUUGUUCAGCGUAUUCAAGCAUCAUACAAUUUCGUUCAUCGCUUUCUUUUUUAUCAUGUAAACAGGCCGAGCCUCUGUAACUUUAUGUGAUCUGAAACUUGUAAGAUGGAGAGAAUAAUCAUCAUUCCUCUUCUAUUUUGCAUUUUCCGGGCAAGGGUUGGUUCGGUCCGACUAAUCUUCAAACCGUCAUCUUAUUCAGAAUUUGAAGGGAGGAGAAGAUAAUACAAGCUAAAUAGUCAUUGAAUACGAUCAACCGGUUACUUUUAGUAUCGUUGUGCAAUUUGAUUACUCAAGCAGUUAGUUCAGUAUGGAGUUCCGUUGUGAAGCCAAUCGCAAAAACUCGGAGCAACUUAAAUCUUUAUAAGCGCAUGUAAGGUCCUUUAGUGAUUCAUACUUUCAAACAAUUGAGAUUUUGCGUUGUUUCAACCUCACCCUGGUUUCUAUACCCAGUGAGUUACGUAGCACACUAAAUUCGAAUUUACGACUUUUGGUGGAGUCUGAACUUCUGAGGAAUCAUAAAAUCUGCUUAAAUAAGAAGCUGAAAUCUCACAUGACUGCGUAGUAGAGCAGCAAUGCUAAAGACUUUGAGCAAGUAAAUUGUAUCCACCAAAGAGAAGCGACCGUUAUCCAUUUCUCUACUAAUCCCUGUAGCUCGUCUUUGGAGUUUGGAAGGCAAAUUGAAGGAGAAGCUUUUGGAAAGGAAGGAGUCCUGCAUUCUUCAACGCUAACCCUUCCCAUUACUUGUCAUCAAAUCUCCAAAACCCAAAUCCUGAAAACAGCAAACCACACCACACACAAAGCCCAAGGCUAAGGAUCUCCACGUUCCCAGCAACACAGGGAACCAAAACUGGCAAGAAAUUCCCAACAAUAUCAGCAGCAGCAGCGGUUAAGCCUUCGCAGCCUCUUGAUCUAACAGAAGACAACAUUCGAAAGGUCUUGGCCGAUGCAAGGGUUGAAUUCGGGCAGCUCUUCGACACUUCAGUUGGCAUGACAGGUUGAACUCUUUAUAUUCUCUGUAUUUCGUUUCAUUCAUUUUGUUUAGUUUCUGGUGGUGGGAAAUCAGUUAAGAUAAGGAGAUGACUUGCAGGACAAGUAGAACUCGCGGAACUGGACGGACCCCUUGUGAAGAUCAGUCUUAAAGGCCAGUUUUGGCACCAAGUAGUUUAAGAGCGUUUAUCCACGCAUUUAAAAUUCUGUGUUUAUAUCUAAAUAUUUGGAUCCGACAUAGAAGUGGUUAAAAAGUUUUUUGGGCCAAUAGAGAAAUUUCAAGCUGAUAUCAUGAUUAUGAUUUUGAAUUUUUCUAGUGCGGAUUCCCUUCAUAUAACAAGUGUGAAACAAUAUAAAUGCGAAGAAAUACAAAAAUAAACCAAUCACUAAAACACAAGGACUUACGAUGUUAACUAAAUAUGAGCUUUGUCGUCAAGUUGCCACAAGAUUCCCACCAUCAAAGAAUAAGGAGAACAAACUCAAGCGUUUCCUCACACUCACUAGAUCGAUCAUGAUUAUACUUUUAACACAAAUUAAUACAAGUUAAGUGUCUAUGCAUCUACGCGCAAGUGAUUCACAAUCGUUGAUUGGUAGGAACCAAGCAUCAAUCAAAUCUCUUUAUAGUUAUAUGUUAAAUUUCAAGUCUCUUAUGAAGACCAAGUACAUUCCUUGAAUUAGCACAUAAGCAAGCAACUUAAAUUUUCUUGAACUCGUCAUUCUUUUUAUUAAAUAAAAUGAACGUGUUUCGCAUUUUCCCCCAUUCUUUUUCGGUAUUUUUUCCAAUUGUAUUAGAAAUUUAGAAGCCACCAAAGUAUCUACGAACUAGAGCAAAAGAUUUGCAGAUAACCUAAAUGCCAAGCUAUAUGCCAACCACAUACGUUCAGUUUUUUUUUUUUUUUUUUUUUUUUUACCCUUGUACUACCAACAACAAGAGAAGCCUUGGAUUUAUUGACUAUUGAGUUGACCUUUGAGGGUGAGGAUCUUAUUCUGAUUCAAUUAGAUCUAUACCGUAUCUUAAAGCCUUAAAUCAAUUGCAAUUUGGACAUUAAUAAACUUCAUGUGCCUCACAUGCUGACACCACCUGACUUUUAGAACCUAAUCAACAAACCGUCCUCAAGUUUCAUGACAAACUAUUUUUAAUUAGAAAAUGUCUAAGAGAUCGUAUUUUAUAAAUCACAUUAUGUAACAGUUGAUAAUUGAAUCAUUUAGUUAAAUCAUUAAAGAAAGAAUUUAACUAUCAACCGUCAUAUCUCUCGUUUGUUGUAAAUUUAAACUCAAAAUUAUGAAUUGAAUUGGUGGUCUUCAGUCAAUUCAGUUGUCAUGUUGCUUAACCUGCUGUAACAAGAAGUCUGCUUAAUAUGCUAUAUAUGCAUGAAACACAAGCCCCUUUCUUAAUGACUAAUACGUAGUCGGUCAAAUAUUUUUCUUGUUUUUUCAUAUGGCCAAUAUUGGGAGAGUGAAUGCUCCUAAUCGAAUACUUCAUUGAAAAUAAAAUAGUUAUUCAGACUCUUGUGACAUAUAUUCAUAUCAACUUCAAAAACAACAAUAUCCACUUUCUAAGUUUUGAGGACCGUAUGACGAGUUUGCAAUACAUCUUUUCGCAUAUUCUCCUGACAUUUUCCUCACAAAUUUAAAGAAACUGUAGAUGCCCAGAAGACAUCGUCACAAAAGAAUCGAUACGGUAGAACAACCAUGUAGCUAGCCAAGAAGAAACUUGAAUUGAUUCCUUUAGAGUUUUACAAAAAGGGCAAGCAUUUCCUUCAUUUUCUAAUUUUUUUUUUCCUUUUUAUCUUCGAACAAAAUAUAUUAUAAGAGGACUUUGAGAGAGUUUCUGGGUUCAGCUACAAAUACAAAAACCCAAAGUUCCUAUGCUGCUGCUGCCGCUGAUGAUGUACGGUGUCAUACCGUAUAUUAACCGUAUAUACUGUGAAACCAAAACGCAAAAAAAAAGACUUGCAUGAUCAAUCGAGCAACACAUCACGUGGCCACUCCUGGUUCAGAUACAUAGCUUAUUCUGUCCACCUCUUCCCACACCAACUUUGAUGUUACUUCAUCGUGUUCUGGUACAUAUUCCUGAGGCCAAAAAACCAAAACAUAUCAUUAAGUAAAAUUGUAAAUUACGGUGUAAAUUAAGGUGUAGUUAAAUAACAAAAAGGGUUAGUUCGUACAAAUCUUCCCUGAUGAAACUAUACGAAAAUACAUUUUCUUUCGGUAACGUGGAAGGCUCAAGCACAACUACAAAAACUAAGCAACAACUGAUCUUUCCGACAAACCCUUGGUAAAUCUUCUAACAAAUCUAAACCUAGGUAUUGAUAAUAGCCAACUUUAGUUGAGAAACCCAAUUGCAUGCAACCGGUGACAAGAACGCCUUUUCCCAACCCAGCAUUGUCGCCAAGGUCAGCCGGAUAGGGUUGGGAAGGACCCAUAUUUUCAACCAGAUUGAACCGGACCAACCCAUAAGCAUGAUGUUAUAGUGUGUAAAAAAAUGGUUCUCAUUUUAUUGUACAAAGGAAAUUUCUCCAUUUUUGGUUAUAUAAAAAAUCUAAGCUAAAAGUCUACGUUGUCCAGACCAUCCUUAUAUUGCUGAGGUCAGCACAUGCAUAGGAUCAGUGGGAAUCCAUGAGCAUCAAUGUGGCAUAGUUUGAACACUACAAGGACUUGGAGUGUACAAUCCGUAACACAUGAAUCAGGCCCGUUAAUAUUUAUCUUGAUGAUCAUAUUCUAUUCUAUGAUGCAUAUGAUAUGAUGAAAAGAGGCACGAAGCAUACCUCCAGUUGUCUGACCAAUUGCUUGGCUGUUGGAGCAGACACGAUAAUGUGACGUGCAGUAGGAGAAAUAAAGCCUUCAUCAACGGCCUUAUCGAUGAAACACAACAACGAAUUGUAGUAACCGUCCACAUUCAAAAGCCCCACCUACAAAAAAACAAGUAAUUCUCACUUAAUUAUUUAAUCAAUCAACCAAUUAAUUAAUAAUAUCCAACUUCAAACAUCCAUUUAAUCUCCAUAUUAUAUGAAUGUUGUUCAUAUGUCCUCAUUGUCUUGUGACCAACAACACCCUUCUUUGACCAACAACCUCUCUUUUUUUAAACCUAAAAAGAUAAGAAAUGAGAGGCCUUCUCCCAUUCAAACGGAGAUCCUCCAACUAAUCAAACCACCUAAUCUUAUGCUAUCUUUCCAUGUGAAUUAGAAUUAAGUACCACAUGCAUUGAUUCUCUAUAUCAAACUUUCUCAUACAUCCAUACCACGCAAUUAGAUUGACUCACAUCAUCACAAUAUCAUCUCCCUUCAGGUUUGCUAGCUUAAUUUGUAUGGAAUUAUAGAUGAGAGAGAGAGAGAGAGAGAGUCGUGUACUUAGAAACAUGAUAAAUUAAUUAAUCAUAGACAUAUGAUAGACUUAUUUAGUCAUGGAGACAAGAGACAUGAUAAAAUAUUCUUCAAUAUGAAGAAAAUGAUUGUUAAUUAGUGUUUAAUAGAAAAUUUGAGGAUAUCAACAACAACUAUCCACAACAUCGUAAGUCGUAACCACAUUUGAACAAACAAGAAACAUGGCAUCAUGUGAGGGAUUGCUUUCUUGUAAAGUUUUGAAUGAUUUAUAAAAUUAUUUUUGACAUUCAAAACCCUUGUAUAGAAAGGGGUGGAUAAAUAUUAAGAGCAUUUCUUACAGGUUUGCGGUGGAUUCCAAGCUGAGCCCAGGUAAUGACUUCCAGCAAUUCUUCCAGGGUACCAUAGCCACCUGAACAUAUUAAUUUCAAUUAAAGGGUUUUACAAAACAAUUGAGAGUUGAUUUGGAUAAUGGUUCACAACUUCACAUGCACAUGGAUGGCUUUCAACCCUUGAACCAUGUAAAAUCAGAGUAAGAUCAACAUACAUCAACAUUUAACAAUCACCCAUGCACACGAGGAAGACAAACUUUAACAUUCAUUAACAUAAAUAAUGACAUUUGUGACACGUCCGGUUCAUGGAUCAAAACCAUACCAGGGAGGGCAAUAAAAGCAUCAGCUUGACGGGCCAUCUCGGCUUUCCUUUGGUGCAUAUCUGAGACAGUUCUCACUUCUCCAACAGUUUCACCAGUUAUCUACAAUAAUUUAAUCAAAUCACAUUAUUAAUUAAUCAUUUAGAGAUCGGCAAAACCCAAAGUGAUCACUUAAAACCAGCACAUUUAAGUUUUUAAAUGUACCUCUAUAGGCAUUAGGGUCCUUGGAAUAACUCUGCAAAAACAGCACAUCAACAUAUAUUUAUCAGCAAACUGUUAUAUAUUAACAAAAGAAUUUACAAAAAGUUUCACAUGGGCGAAUAGACAUGUACUUGAAAAUUAACUGAUCAAAUAUUUAGCAAGAGGCAUUGACCAUACUAAUUUUCUGGGGUUGUGUUUUAUAGAACGUGUUUAAAGUUUUAGCAGACCAAGAGCUCUUACAUAACAGGGAAAGCAGGCUUUUCACAAAAUGCAAUCACUUCCUCUAAAAGUCUCCAUACUUUUACUAAAUAGCUUUUCCAGUUCUAUAAAUCUUUCUAACUGGAAGCUCCAGAGGGAACUGACAUUGUAAGAACUUAAAAGGAGGUCAACUUUCAGGCUUACUUUAGAUCACAUUAAUUUAAGUGGUUUCGAACCAUGUUCACAAUGUCUAGAAGACACAAUAAUUUUCCAUAAAUAUGUGAACCUUUUUGUCCCAAUAAGAAAAAUAGAGGACAAGGGAAUGCACAAAUUUAAUUAUAUAAUAUGGGGGAGCAUUUGAUCCUAGAUUCCUAUGUUGUCUGCCUUUGUGAACCCAGUUAAUUAACAUAUAACUGGGACUAAUUUUGCAUGGUAUGGUUCAAUUCAAUAGAAAAUAAGAAUGUAACCAAUUUGGCCAAUCAUUUCAUUAGGGUAACCUAUGCGUGUGGUGUGUGUACGAGUGAGAGAGAGAGAACUACAAACCCUAGGACAUGGCGCCCGCCAUCAUGAACUGCCUGAGAAACAAGACCCAUCAAUCCCACGCUUCCACCACCAUAGACCAGAUCAAUCCUUCUCUCCACCUUCAAAACACAUCGAAAUUCAAAACCAUCAACACGUGUCAGAAACCGAGUUCAUCAUAAAAUAUAAAAAAAUAGAAGUGCAUGAUUUGAUUGAAACAAACUAGAAGAGAUGGCAGCAACAAUAAGUAAUGGAGGCAGAUUGUCGAGUGCCAUUCCUAUUCUCUUUUAUUUUUCUCUUCUAUUUCACGAUUAAAUCGCAUCAAUAUUUUAUAUUAAUUUUUUUAUAAAAAUAAUAAAAUGAAAACAAUAAGAAUAUAAAAUGUUAUCGUGACUUAACCGUAACCACACAAAUAUAAUAGAACGGAAAAGACACUCAAACGAGAGGGCAGACAAUCUGCCUCCGUAAGUAAUAGUAUGUUUCAGUGGAUGGAAUGAAUGAAUGAAUAAAACCCUAGCUAGCUAAAAGAGGCUAUUGAGUGAAAAUUAAUUAUUUAAAAUUUUUAAAUCAUGUGUGUAUAUAUAUAUUUCUUGUCAUGGAACCCCAUAAACAAAAAUCAUGGAGAUGAGGUUCAGUCAUGGAAGCUUGUGAACACGCUUAAAAGAGUCAUGAUACCGAGAGAGCACGUUUGGUUCCCUCCUGGCCUGGAGAGAAAGAAUUAAUUAAAAUCAAAACUCAGAUCAUGCAAGAAAGCUGCUUAACUGACAGCCAGUUUACAGCUUGCACUCUCCUUCCUCCCUCUCUCUCUCAUGCCAAACAUAAACCCUAAUCAGGAUCAAUGCUAGCUAGCUCCAGGUCUUGAACAAUCAUAAGCCCACGUUGAACGCUUGUUUGGUUGCAACACGCUACCCUCCACACCCCCCCCCCCACACUACUUGAGAAAUAGAAGCAAAC
rnacentral:lncRNA from 1 species